rnacentral:lncRNA from 1 species
UUUUUUUUUUUUGGUCUGAUCACUGUUCGCUGUUGUAAUUGAACUUUUUAUUGGGCAUGUAUAAUUAAACAAUUAAAUUCUAAUAUUCUAUGGUUGAUGCUUCAAAUUAUAAUGUUAAUGUUUUUUAAAAAAACAAGUGAUAAUUUAUUUUAAAUCCAUUUAAGUUACGGGGAGAGAGAUUCAAAUUUGGGUGCAGAACGUAGAAUACAUUCGCUCUAACCAACUCAACUAAGUCCAUGUCUACAUAUUAAUGUUCUUCUUAUGUGUUUUUUUUCCGUAAAAUAAGUCAUCGCCAAAAGCGAGACCUAAAUUUAGCAUAUUAACAAAUGGAAUGAUAUACAACUUGAGUUGAUUGACCACAGAUACUGUACACAACGACUUUCUUACUGAGAAAAAAAAAAAAAAAAGCAAAGCAUGAUAUUUGGCUCAUGUCUUUUCCACCACUACAGAGAGAGCCGCUCGCUUUCAGGAGCAUGAAACUCAAACCUGAAGUCAUUCCUCAAUUUUCAGUGACAAUGGGAAUUUGGAUGAUGAAAUAAGUCAAAUCAAGUUGAUUACAAUUUUCCCACGAAAACGCACAGAAUGAGAUAGCAUUACAAGGAUCCUGUUUACGAUCACCAGUGUGCUUCUAUGGCUUCUACAAAAUAUCUCUAAUCUUCUCCAACCUUCUGCUUAAAUUUUCUCACUUUCAACAAAAUUGUCUAGUUUUGGGGCUUGGAAGCAUUCCCAUUCAAAAAUUUGAUCAGCCACUGCUAUGCUUCAUAACCAUCAGCUACCAUAUCACACAGUCAAGUUAAGCCAGUUUAAGGUACAGCCUCGGUCACUGCUCAUCUAACUGCAAAAGCAAGCCAUUAGUCAAGUUUUUAUCUUUUCCCCGCACAUGAAAACAGCCAUAAUUACCAGCAACAAAGACGAAUGAAGUACUAGAUAAACUGAAAAUUUUCAUCACUGGGGAGGAGUUGAGUUUAUAGCCUCAGAAAUUAGCAUGGAUGGAAUAGUCACAAGGAACCAAAACACCAACUAUCACCCACCCCUCUUUCAAAAAAAAAAAAAGAAUUUGUCACAGAGCCUGAAAAACCUCAUAAAAAUAAUUGCUACGAAUGCCUUUUUUAUCAUUUUUGUAAACUGUAGUGUUGCUUACCUUUUCGUCCUUUCUGUCUUUUGCUCCGACAAGCUACACUUCCACAAUUACACUGAAAUGCCUCAAUAGGAUGUUCUAGAUCAUCAAAGUCAAUCCCAUAAUCCUGCAAAAGGAUUUUGCUGAUCAUUUUAUGAACACAGAAAUUCAAACUUUCCAAUAACUCAAUAUGGAACAGUUGGCAAAGCACUCAUAAUGGUACUGGAUGAAAUUGCAUGUAACUUUGCGGCACUGGACUAGAACAGGUGUAUUUCAUACAUAUAAUAAGUAGUACACAUACCAUUAUAAAAAAUGAAGACAAAUGAAAAACUUUCACUGUGUGACAUCCAAAAUAAACCCCAAUGGUAGGUCGUCUAAUGCUCAACUCUCCCACAACGCAAACUCAAAAAUUCUCAAACUUGCUAGUGGAACUUAGUAAGUUCCCAGUUGGGACCAACCUACUGUAAUCCCAAAAUCAAAGCCAUAUUCUUUUAUUUUCUUUUUCUCCAAUUGCCAAGAAGAGUUUCAAGUAGUAGAGAGAAAAGCAAGUUCACUCACCCACGUCAGCUCUUCAAAAUCACUCACUGUCCUGGUUGUAAAAAAGGCAAGCUGCAUACAAGGAGCACAAAGAAGAUACUCAGAGAUGCUUCUCAUUCACAAUGUAUAAUCACAAUCAAACAGAAAGCCUUCAAACUUUUGAAUGUGUAUACAUAGUGUGUAUACGUGUGUGUAAGAAUUCACAUAAGAAGCAACCAAACCCAUACAUGAUAAUAGUGACGGUCAGGAGUCUCCACUUGAACUGGGAUAUCAAUCAAAUUUGCAUCACAGCAUCUGGAAUUAUAAAGGAAAAAAUAAUAAAGAAAAUACAGGGAGCAAAAUGAUUUAAAAAAUUGACUAGAGUCAUAUGAUCUUUGUCUAGAUCAAUGAAUAUGACAAUUGCUCCUAAUAGUUAAUUCAAUGUAAGAGGUUCCACUUGUUUAUUUGACUCGGUAGGAAUGAGCAGACCACUUAUUAUGCCAAGAUUCCUCAGUUCUAAAUUAUAUCACCGAAAUUACCUGCAUAGGCAAGGAUUAAAAAUGCAGGUGUGUAUAUACCAUUUAUAUAUACACACAUAUAAAAAUGGGAAAUAUGACCUCCUUAACCUAAGACAAAGACAAAAAAGAAAAUGCAGACGCAUUGAAAUAUUACCUAUGAUUGAUAAAUCUUGCAACAUUUCCAUGAAAUGUUGCAUCAAGACAAAGUGCAUCCUCAUCCCUCAAAACCCGCUCUGAGCCCCAAUCCGCAUCUAGUGUUACAGGGUAGGUAUGCCUCUCAGCUCCACUGCUGUGCGUAUUUCGCUCAUAUAACUCUGUAUUGGUCAAUAUCUCCCCAACAUAUUCACACACAAAUGUCCCCUUCUGCAAGACCUCUAAUGUUCUGACACCCCAGCCUUUUCCUUCAGGAGUCAAGAACACCUGAAGCAUAUCAGAACAAGAUGUAUUUACUGGUUUAUUACAACUUACAAUGAUCUCCGUAAAACAAAUUCUAACAUCUAAAAUGGCAUAUUAUUAACAACGUAAUUAAAAAAGUACCAUUUCAUAAGGAUUAACAAUGAAAACAAAUUUAACAGAGCUACCAGUGUUCGUUGUUAAUAGCCAAUCAAUGGAUGCUUCAAGAAGAUAGUACAAGAUUAAAAGAGCAAUAAGUAUGGCAUUGCGCUAAUCUAGAAUUUAUAAGUAAAGAAAUGAAAACCCUGGUGAAAUAUUGUGCAGCUUCAGCUAGUAAUCAAUUAGCCAAAUAAGAUAUCCAAAUUGAAAGUUACUACCAAAAGGUACGAAGUCAAAAUAACCUGUAACUUGCAGGAAAUACCCCUUUGCACUACACGGUUUCCACACCACAAGUCGCAUCCACAUUUUCUCCAGCAUUCUUUAAUAAACUUUCUGAUGUGGUGACCUUUGCAUUUUUCAGGCAUGUACUCAUUCUUCAACCUCUCAUGGGGGCAGUCUUGACAAUAAAAAAAAUUUUGCUUAUCUGGUUCCCUCAUGCAAGCUGUUAGAAAGUCUUCUUUUAGCAGGCCUUGUUUUGUGUACACAAAAUCCCCACCGGUUUCUUGAGCGCAUGCACAUGGAAAUUCUGAUGAAAGACAAUCUCCUGAACAACCAAUGCAGCAGUCUUCAUCCGAAAUACGGGCCAGUGAGAUAUUCACAUUGGCAUGUUGGUAAACUAUAUUAUCCGGAAUAUAAUUGAACUUCGGGAGAGACUCAUUUCCAAUUUCAUCUGCCAAUGAUAUUUUCACUUUUUCGGUAGAUUUUGAUAUGUCAUCGAGAGAUUUAAUUGGCUUCUUUCCCUCACGAGUGAUACCAUUUAAAUCUACCUGAGAAUGUUCUAUUCUACAAGGUCCCUUACUUGGUCCUGAAACAUGGAGGGCAUCCCGACCACUUGUACCCACUUCGGAGGACGCCAAGGAUGUGACAGAGUUACCCCCAGUUGAACCCCCUGAUGAACCUGGAAGAGUUAGACAGUAGCAUGCUAGGUGGUCAGAAAAAAUCCAGUAGCAGCUAAGGCUUCAAUAGGAUGGACAAUUGGGUACACAUGGGAAAAAAGAUGUCAUCAUAUUUAUGGAGGCCCUGUUGUCUUUGUUUUGAUGCAUCUAACUAUAACUUUUACCAGACCAAAAAAAACUAGACCUUUUGGAAGCUCAUUGCAACCCAAGUGAGAAUGAGAAUAAAGGAACAGGUUUUGACAAUCUUGUAAUAGAUAAUAAUAUCAUGUAGUGGCAAGACAAAAUAUACCUGGACGUCUCAUUGGAGCUGGUUGUGCAGAAACUGGAACACAAUUUGUGGAUUCCUCUGUUUUUGGAAUCAGAAAGUCUUUCUUGUGAUUACCACGUGAGACUGCAGAUGAUGUGAGAUUCUUUCCUUUGUCACGGGACUGUUUGAGGGGAAUUUGAGAACUAGAUCCAGCUCUGCCGUCUCUUAAACAAGGUUCAGAAGACUCCAUGCUUGCCUGUCGGCUGACCAUUCUUGAAGGAAUUUCACUUUCUCCAUGAUCUUCGUCAUUAGCCAAAUGCAGUUUUUUAGUUGGUCUUUCAGACCCACCGUGCCCCGUAUCAACUUCUGUCUUAUCUUCUUCUCCCUAUUCCAGAAAAAGAUAAAAAAGGGUAAAGGGCAACCUCAACAAUUGCAUAUUUUAUUGCAACUAGUAUACGAGCUAAAAGAUAGUUACACUAGCUGUGCACUUGGUCCACUAGAGUUAGACAUCGUAUGUGACGGGACAACUCAUAUGUCCAGUAAAUAUAUGAUGUAACUUGUAAAGCAACUAGCAUGUCCCACCAAAAACAGAGGGAGGUUGGUUUUCAACGUGAAUUUUUUAAAUCAACUACAAUUGAAUUGAAAUUUUUGUUUAAUUCAUUUUCUAACAAUCUAAGCUUUUAAAUUCAAUGUGAUCUAACAUCAAAGUUAUAAUUAUAAAAGGUUCUCCAAUCCUCCAAUCUUCCAUCCCCAUUGCCAAAUGUCUUAAUUUACAAGAAAUAUGAUGAACUUGAAUUUAUUCUUCGUUUAUUCAGCAUGUAACCAUAAAUUAAACAUGGAGAAGAAUUUAAGUAGAUAUAUAUUAAUAACACAUUUCUUGAUAGCUUAAGUUUUUUAAGUCUCAUUGUUCCCAAUUUUAACCACUGUCAUUAGUAUAUAUAUUAAUCUUCCAGUUCCCAACAAAGGCAUAAAUUAAUAAAGUAAUUAAAAAAAUAACUGAAAUACCUUAUUAUCCUGAGACUCAAAAUAUGCAUCCACAAGAGUCCUGUAGUUGUCUUCUUCAAUAAGCUCCCAAUUUUUAUCAUACACAGCCAGCAAAUUCUUCAGAACUGGCUUGACCAAUCUAUCAGGAAUUCCCAAGGCCCUCGUCGCCUUAAAGGCUUUCAAAACUCUCGGGUUGUUGGUCAUGGCCGAUGCAAAAGUUGAUGAACACUUAAUCCGAUACUAAAUCAGCGGCCUCUUGUUCUUUAUGUUCCACACAGCACCUGCACCAAUUCUCGGGGCAUGUUAGAUAUAAAACUCAAAAGCACACAGCCCAUGAACUUUUUACUUGAACAAUAGUUUGGAUGCCUUACUAAUCUCGCUUCCUUUGUCCUGCAAUACUUCAAUGUUCAACAAAUACAAGUACUGUUUAUAAAAUGAAAAAUCAUCUUGAUCAAUCUACUAAAGGACUCAUAAAAUACAUAUUAAGAAAUAGGAGAAACUAAUCAUUUUUUUAUACGGUAGGAAUUCAACGAGUUUAUCAUGUCAAAAUUAGAUUGCUCAUCUUUGACACUAUUCUGAUUUGUGUUUUAUGUGUGAGCGGGUCAUGUUAUAUUUGUGUUCGUGCCAAGUAAUGUUCAACACAAAUUCACUGUCUUCGUAUCGGUUCGAAUCGUGCCAAAUAUGACAACUCCAAAUUCUAGCAUUAGUUUCUCGACCAGAAAAACGGAAAAUAAAAAUAAAAAUAACAAAAGAGCACACCCAACAAAUAUUUCCCACAAAAUUCAAAUAGUAAAUAAACAAUACAAGUGGAAACCCCACCCACAAUAAUAUCAUGACAGCAACACGAGACUCUGUUAGCCAGUGUAUAAAUAUAAUAUUCUGAUCAACCACCGUACUAAAAACAAUCAAUAUUAUUAAAAUACGGACAUAGGGGACGGAGCAUUUUAUUAUUAUUUUUUUUCGUUUUUUGCCAUGAAUGGUUCUGUUUGGCUGCCGAGAAAAUGUUGGAAAUCCCAAGUUUUUUCCUUUAGGUUUUCCACGCCAUAGACAAACCAAACAGCAAUUACGAGCAGUAUAAACCCACACUAACAAAAAGCUCCGCCUGGGUCGCUGAGAAAUGUAGGAGAAUAGAAACACCGAAGUUUGCUCUUAGCCGCGAACAUUCACACCGACGCACCAAACGACAAGUAGAAGCAAAACCUUCAUCUUUUAGGUCUAACAGUAAACAAAUUUUCAAUUCAAAAAUGCAAGCUUUAAGCACCUAUACUUUUCAGCUUCUGACAUUGUUAACAAUAUUUUAGAGUUUCUCUGAGAGAGAGAGGGGUUCUAAAUAAAAAAUUAACACUUGAAAUUUAAUGUAAAAGAGAAAUGCUAUUUACCUUCUCCUCUUCUCUUCUGUAUUUGUAUUCUUUUUAAGAGUUAAAAAAGGGCUCCAUCUGCCAUGGUGGAAAACAGCGCUGAGAAAUAGUCUGGGGGGUCCCGUCUCCUCUGCAUUUCUCCUGAGUUCUUCUGAUAGAAAAUAAUAGUGCUAAUAAAGGCGGCGUAGCGUGGUGUGUGGUCCUUUUGAACGAUUUGGGGGGUUUAGGGCCCACGUUUACAUAGAGAGAGCCCCGACCUCGAGCAAGUAGUGCUUGCUAGCCUUUUGCUGCUACUUGCGGUUGCGGAGUUGGAACUCCUUUUCGUUUUUGGGUUUGAAUUUGGUGUUUAAAUACUCUUUUUAUGCCAUGGGUCUAGCCCAAUAAAAAAGGGCCUUCACUUGAAGAUCAAAUGUCUCAUGUUUGAAUUCUCACUGCUCAUAGUUAUGUGUGUGAGAUAAAUUCCCCUAUCUUGUAGUUUAGAAUAUCGCUUACAAUAAAAAAACUUUUUUUAUAAAAAACUAGCCUCUCUGCACGUCUGCACGGGCUUCCGCGCUUGCGAGAAGCUUUUUUUAUAAAAAAUUUAAAUUUAUUUAAGAAUUAAAAAAGAUAAUGGAUAGUUGUAUUCCAUAAAAAUAUGACAGUCCCGAUCUCUUGGACCACAGGAGUCCAAGAGAUUGUGGUCACCCACCGUUGGAUAUUAAUCUAAUGGUAUAAAAAAGUUUAUUAAAAUGAGUGCAAAAAUGAGUGAACCGUUGAAUUUACAUCCAACGGUGAGUGACCACAAAUUUCUUGGACCCCUGUGAUCCAAGAGAUCAGGACUAAAAAAUAUGAUCCAUUAUCUGAAUUUUCUUUUAAUUUCAAUUUUUUAAAUACGAAAAAAUUAUGAAUUUGCCAUAUUAUCCUUAUUUAAUUAAUAAUUUUAAUUCUUAAUGUUUGCAUUAAUCAAUGGCAUUUUCUGGUAUUUUAAAUGUUUCACAAUUUUCUGUCUUUUGUUUUAUAUAUAUAGAUAAAAAUAAUUAUCCAUAAUACUAUUAAAUUUUAGGAACGAUGCUUUAAGCAAAAACCUUCAAAUCUUGGUCUUGUAUUUUUUAACAUUAUAUUAACAUGUUCAAUGACUUUUAAACAUUUUGCCUUCGUAUUGGAUUGUAAAACUUUUGAAAUAUUUAUUAAAAUUUCAAUGCACUUGAAUUCAGUGUAGAUAGACUAUUGAAAAUUAUAAGAAAAUCAUGUGUCAAAAUUACAGAGAAUAAAACAAAGUGACAUAUCUCAACAAGGAGCAAUGUGAAUAACCAUAAGAACAUCUAUAAUCAUGCUCUCUAUUUUUUAGUUAAAAUUUAGCUAAAAAUACACAAAAGUUAUUUUAGGAGCUCUCUAAAAAAUUUGAACUCCAAUCCUACUCCCUAAUAGAGAGUCAUAAAUACUAAAGUUAUAUUUUAAUUCCAUAUGAUUGGUCCAUCUUUAUAAAAAAUAAUAAUAAUAAUAGUUAUCAUGAGUUAAAAGUUUAAAUUAUGCAUAAAACAAAGUAGCAUUCAAUUAUAGGGAGCCACUAUGAGUCGUUUCUCUCUCCUCAUAUUUAGGAGCUCCUAGAGAUCCCCUUAUUUUAGGAGAUGGAUAGAGAGCAAAUAUGAAGUUAUAUUUUUCCAAUUCCUCCCUAAAAUUUAUCUUCAAAUGUGAUUUAGGGAGCUCAUUGUGAAUGCUCUACGUGGACAAAUUAAGUAUAGAUAGAUAAAGGGAAGUAAAUCAGGUGUCAAAUUAGUGAGAAUAAAAUAAAAUAGCAAAUCUCAACAAGGUUGAUGAAGAAUAAAUAUAAGUGGUCAAAUCUAGCUUGAGGAAUAGUUUGGAAGAUUAAUAAAGUACUUGUCUAGAUGUGAGCAAUUGCAAUGAAUAAAUUAUCUGGCCCUAAGAUGUAGAGGGUCGGAGAUAGCAAAACAGUGCUAUCUUGGUUUCAAGUAAAAAAAAAUUCCUAAAAGAGGGUAGUGUUAUAAUAAUUAUGAGUUAUGAGUUAUGAGUCUUCAAAAAAGUUGUGACGAAUGCUAGAUACUUUCUCCUCUUGCAUCCCUUAUUUAGUUUGUUCAAUGUGUAUUCAACUCGCAAAUAAAUAUAUUUAUUUAAUGUGAUUCAAAACUUUUAAUUAUAUUACAAGAAAAAUAUUAGUAAUUUGCAUUGUGUACUUAAAUUUAUGUGUGAGCGAAAUAGUCAUGAGACAAAACUGAAUGAGGAAGACAAGAAGGGAAAGGCAAAAUGUAGCUAGCAUUGUUCUAAUACCGAUAACACAUUUAUAUGUAGUGAUUCUAAAAAUUAACAAUACAAUAUUAUUGUUAUAAAAAUAACCUGGAAUAUGUAUGAAUAUUGAGCUGCACGUAAAGUAAAUGAGACACAGCAUUUAACGAAGUUCGGCUAUGCCUACGUCCUCGGAGAGCAGCAGCAGUAACUUUUUCACUAUAUAAAAUAAUAGGGCUACAACUUUAGAGUUUACAAUAUGUGAGGCUCACUGAAUUUUCUCUCUCUUUCUUCUUCUCUCUUUUCUUUCUUCUUUUUCUCUUCUUUUCUUUCUUCUUUUCUCUUCUUCUUCUCUUCUCCCCUUUCUUUCUUUUCUCCGUUGGUCACACUCCCCUUUACAAUUGGUAUGCCUAUUUAUAGGCUAAUGUUUAGGCAAAAUACAGGGAAGGGAAGGUUCCUGGAAGAUGCAAGGAAACUUCCUGAAUUGAUAAAUACAGGGAAGGAAAGUUCCUGGAAGAUGCAAGGAAACUUCCUGAAUUGAUAAAUACAGGGAAGGGAAAGUUCCUGAAAGAUGCAAGGAAACUUCCUCUGUGGGCUCCACCUUCAAACUUUUACAACAAUUAUAUAAUUAUUGAAACAAUACUAUAUUUUGAUGAUGAAUAAUUAAUAAAUGGAAAAUGAGCCUUGCUUGAUAUCAUUGUUUAAACAAAUAUAAACUUUAACUAAACACAAGUUACAUGUAUGUUACAUUCACUUAGAAUCCCAUAAAAGAGAAUUGAGACAAAGAAAAAAUAUACAUUCAGCAAUUGAAAAGAUGAAUGCCUCUCAUCCUUUUCAAUCUCCCAAUGGCAAUUAAAUGAAAAAGCAAAAACAAAAUUAAAGAUCAAAUAAGAAAAUAAUAAACAUAAGGGGAGGGAGAGAGAAGACGCUCUUAGCCUCUAACCGAUUUCACACCCCUCUUCUAUUCCUCUAAUUCUACGCCCCAAUAUUCUCCAUCAAAUUCCAAUUCCAAGCGACCCAAUAAUGUUCAUACUCAGUCUUGACAGCUCCAAUUAACAAUCUGUGCAUCAUCUUUGGGCCGCUAAUCACAUCUCACCUCAGUUUUGACGGUAAAAUAAAACCAAAACCUUUGCGGCUUUGCAAAAGAUGUGAUGAACAUCAACGUCAAUAAAAUCAAUGUCGUUCACCACAAAAAAAGAAGGAAGAAAUAAAUAAGAUGUCGUUUUGACUGUCUACCGUAAGUACGAGGAGUCGUCGAAAGUCAUAUCAGAUGUGCCGAGAUGAACCUUGCCACUACUCUUCUUCUUAGGCUUCUUACCUCCGCCACCACAAGUAAUUGAAAGCUCGCAACCUAAUGCAAAGCACGAAAACAAACUUCUGCCGCCGCUACGGCUCCGGCGACUCUUCGGCGGUCGGUUGGUGAGCUGGUGAGACGACUGGAGCAACUUCGGAUGUUGACUAGUAUUGUUAUUGUUAUUGUUAUUGUUAUUGUUCUUGUUCUUGCAGUCGUACACUGGGGGCAGCUCUGUCCGCCACCUUUCGAUCUUUGUCUUUAACCCCUCCACGCUAUCCUGGUCCGUCCAUUCAUCCAACAACGAGUUCCUUGCAUCACCUUGUGCCGCGUGGCGCACCACAUUGCCUCCGACAUGGCCAAGUGGAUAUAUCCCCUUGGCUAUGGCGGCCGCCACCACGGAUGGCGAGGGCCCCACGUCAGAGCAAAUGGACCCACCCUUUCCCCCUUUCUGCGCAGAGCUAAGCUCAGAACCGUUCACAAUCGAGCUAUUGCAAAAUGAACCUUGAGGUUUAGUAGUUUUUGAGAAGCCCCCUGUAGCGGCAUUGCAAAUGGCGCUCGAGGCUUUGCUUUUGGAGAGCCCGUCGCAGACGGAGCUCGGGGGCCGGCUUUUCGAGAACCCGUAAUCGCUACCCGUUCGAUCGCUCUGGGAUCUUUGGAAGAUUAUGAAUUUGUCUUGAUCCUUGUAGUUGGGGUCGUGGUUCUUUUGAUUUGCCCCCUUUCCUUCCAUCAAAUCCCAAUACCCGACGGCAGAGGAGCUGAGCUCGCUGUAGAGCGGCAUGCUCCGCAUGGUGUUGUCAAGGAGGCCGAGGCCGAUGUUGAGAAUCCCCUGCGGCCUGCCGGAGGGGCGGCGCAACUGGAUCGCCAUGAAGCGCAUCUUGGACUUGUUCUGAAGGUUGUUCACCACCACGGCAGCCGUCCCGAUCAGCACGUCGCGGAGCCACGCGGAGGCGUAGAUCUCGAUCAUGAUCUUCGACGUGUCGUCCUUGAGGAACUCGUCGUCGACUCGGAAGACGAACUUCUCGUUCCACGUCGGGUUGGUGUGGCCGUUCUGGUCGACACGUGUCGUCAGCUUGCGUUGCGGGUUCACCCACGCGACGGCGAACGUCCGCAUGGAUUUGGACGCCGGGUAAAGAUCUUGCGCCGAAAUCAGAUUAAUCUCCAGGAGCUGGAACGACGAGGCUAAUGGGGGUCGUGGCAUGAUUUGUAAUUAAUUAAUGAAUAAUUAAUUGCUGCAGCAAUCACAAUAACAAUUAUAUUAAGAAAGUAAUUGCUGCGAGCAAUUAACUAAAAUAUUGCGAAUGGCAGGCUGUUUGGAUAAAAUAAUACUGAUUAACUAUUUUUAUGAAGAGGAUUAGGCACCCGGAAGAACGUACGUGGUCAAAAGACAACGACUGACCGGCAGACAGUCGUGACCGGCCGCCGGGGACGUACGUAUGAGUAGUAGGAAGAGAGGGAUGUGCUGCAGUGAGGAAUGGUUUGUGUGUGUGGAGACGAGAGGCUUUUAAUUGAAGGCGUGUUGUUAGGGAAGUUUGUUAAGGUCAACGGUUUUAGGACCGUAAUUUUCUGAACAAAAGCUAUAAUUAUAAAACUCAACACUCAUACGGGAAACAAGACAACAAAUAAACUAUCCGAAUGAUGCUGUUUUUCUCAAAUUUAGAGUCUUUAGAUCUGUUAACAAACUAUCCCAAUGAAUCCGAGUCACAGCGGGGGCAGCUUUCUGUUCACUGACUCUCUUUUGAUUAAGAAAUUAAUUAGAAACUUCUACACCUCAUCUCUGAUUAAUUAUAUAUAUGUAUAUAUAUGAUUAUUAGGUUGUUAAUUAUAAAUAAUUGUGUGAGAAAAACUGUUGUGCUUAAUACGAUUAAUUUAUGGCUCUCUAAACCAAAGCAAACCUCUGUUUAUGCUACCUACGUACGUAACCUGUAUAAUUCCAAAACAGGACACCUAAUUACACGAAAACGUUGAUUGCCCUGUUUUUCUUUUGGUAGCUGAUUUUUAAAGCAGUUGUUUGUAAGUUAUUGUAACCCUGUUAUUCUGGUGAAUAAAACUCACAAGUUCCCACCAAAGUUAGAUACAAGUAGGCAGGAAAAAGAAGAACAAACCCCAAAACACAAGCAAAAACCACAGAUUGAGAGAAAACUGCAAUCUCAUCUCUUUUAUCGGGAACCACUUUGCAUUGUCUUCAAACCCCAAAUGGAUUUAACCUUGAAACCAUUCUUUCUGUGUCUUGCAGCACUACUAUUGCUACUACUUUCUCUACUAUCUUCUGCAAACCCAAUUAAUUCUGACUACAAUACCUUGGUAUACAACCAAUGCGCAAAUCAGACAUUUACUACUCCUCCAACACAACAAACCCUUUCAUCCCUUUUCCAAGAACUAAUUGCACACUCCUCCCAAUCAAAGUUCUUCAAACACACCCAAGCCACCGGUGACGAUGAUGAGACUCAGACGGGCAUUUCCGGUCUCUUCCAAUGCAUACAGGACAUCAGCAACGAAGAGUGUCAGAGCUGCGUUUCCACUCUACCUGAUCUAUCAAACACCUUAUGUAGAGAGUCUGUAUCGGCUCGGGUUCAGCUACAUGGCUGCUACAUGCAUUAUGAGCUCGAUGGGUACGAUUCAGAGUCUUCAAAUCAUAAAUUAAUGCACCAGACCUGUGGGGAGUUAUCAAAUGGGUUGGCUGGUGGGUUCGAGGAGAUGAGAGACGCAGCAUUUGCAGCUCUGGAAAGUGGUAUUGUGAUGAAUGGUGAUGGGUUCUACAAAACGAGCUAUGAAGCCGUACAAGUAAUGGCACAGUGUGUGGGGGGCUUGGGGACCUGUGAAUGUGGACUGUGUGUAAGCAGUGCAGUUCAAAUUGCUGAAGCAGAAUGUGGUGCUGCUCUUUCAGGUCAAAUUUAUUUGGAAGAGUGCUUCUUGAGCUAUACUUACCAUCCAGAUGAAAUACUUGACCACCCGCAUCCAGGUAAUUAAAUUUCAAAAUUAGUUCUGAUCUAGAUACUUCCGUUCUUUCUCAACAUACCAAUAAUAAAACGUAUCAAUAUGCUACCGACGACGUAACGUGCGCAUAAAUUUUUUGAAUUCAUUAUGCCUUUUUCUUUUUGACAAAUGUUUUAUGUUUUUUAGAUGGGUUGUGUUAUCAAACUUGUCAAUUUUUCAAAAUUAUGUUCAUGACUUUUCCUUGAAUAUCAUUCAGUUUGCUAAUGUGAGGUAUAUAUACAUAUUUUUAAAUAACAGAAAAAAGAAGAGACAGAAAUGGAAGCAAUGGGAAAUCGGUGGCAAUUGUUGUGGGAGGAGCAGCAGCUUUGUGUCUGGGGUUCGUUUUUCUGUUGUUCGUCAAGUCUUGGUCAAAGAAAGAAGAUGACUAAAAUUCAAUUGAUUAUUACAAAACAAAGUUUAUUUAUUUAUAUUUUAUAGAACGUUUUAAAGUCACGGACUCGGGUGCCCAUAUUACAGGUCCAGGCCCAGGCCCAGGCCACGGGCUUUAUCAAUGAAUGAUAUUAUUCAGUACAAAAAAUAAAACAAAAAGAAGUGAAAAUCUCUCUUCUUCUGGUGUGUAAAAAGCAGAGCAGAUCUAACGUAUAUGUAACAUAUGUUUACAGAAUAUAAGAAACAAACUAUCUAGGGUUAUUUAAUCAUCUAGAAUAGUAAAAAUUUAACACAACAACAACUGAAUUUGGAGCACUUAAAAAAGAACAUAUCAUUAAAAUUUAACUUAGAGUUUGUAUUUAUUUACUAAAGAGCGGUUUCAUUACGUUACGAGUUUGUUCAACUAUACACGAUAGAUUUAAGUGUAGUCAAUACUGUUAUUUUGAUACCAUAAUAUGCAACCACAUAUAGACGUCAUAUAUAGAUAUAUAGAGCGCUUUCGUUGAGGGAUUCUUCAAAUAAGCUUAUUUGAGAUACACUUUUGUAGGACCCACUCAGCCUUGUACUUCACUAAUCCAAACCGUCUAUUUUGUAGAUAUUUAUUUAAAGAUCAUAUCUACGAAAAAAACCACUUGAAUCUAAUAUCAUUUGACCAUUCAAUAACAUGUUUGGAAUUUAAGUACUUUCUUGAAGCAUCAUAUUCAUUGAUUUUAUUGGUCUCAAUUAGCUGUCUUAAUGAUCUUCAAUUUGUUUGAUUUUUGUAAGAAUGAUCUAUGAAUGAAGACUUGAAAAAUUAAUUGUUUGGGUUGGAAAAAAGAAGAAGGUAAAGUACCAUAAAAAGUGUUCUUUAAAUAAAAUAAUUUAAAAUAUAAGCUUCGUAAAUACUUGCGGCGAGUGUGAUAUUUACCGUAAAAGAUAUAAACGCUAAAUACUUUAGUUUUCUAUAAAUAGCCCAAAAUGUAUUGAAACAAUGGAGUGAUGAACCAAUUUAUCUCAUCCUCGUAGUAAACUUCCAAAUCACAAAUGUCAAAACAAUAUAACCAAAUUAGUGUAACCUAUUAAGCACGUAUGGAAAUUGUCUUUCCACUAAUGUAAAUAAUAAUAAUUUACAUUCUAUUGCAAAUUAACCAAUCGAUCCUCAUUUUCCUAUUAUGACGUGACAGCCCUAUUAAUAAAUUUGCAUGAAUCAUCCGUUGAAAUAACAAAACCAGAAACCCUAGAUCAUGAAAUUACAGAAAAUUGGGUGACCAAAACAAAAAAGGAAAUACCCAAGUAGGGGUGUAUGUGUAGCCACCCGGCUUCUCGAGCUCGUUGCCUCAUUAAAUUCUUUUUGUAUUUUUGCUUUUUGGGAAAUCAACCAUUUCCUCAUUCAAUUCAAACGAGUUCAAACAGCAUAUAUAUACUACACGGGGCGAGAAGAGAGACACAGAGAGAGAGGCAGAAGGAAGAGCAAAGACAAAGGCUCUGCAUUUUCUCACCUCACGUAGCCACGUGCGUUCCCCCUAUUCUGGUAAGUCGCUUCUGUUUCCCUUCUCUUCCUACCCCUCCUCCUUCUUCUUAGGCUUUGCAGAGUGUUGUACAAACGACACCGUAUCGGUCGAGAAUACCAAGUAUUGCUGUGGUUACGCGGCGUGCUCAAAAUAGCGUGAAGCUUUGAUUAUUUUUCUAUUUGCGGAGAUAGUAAUUUUGUUUUGGUUUGCCCAUAUAGAAAAUCUAGGUAUUAUUAUUAUUGUAACUUGAAAUGUGGGCUUAAUUUACUUAACCAAAAUCAUUUCGAGAACUUUGAAUUCUGCCCUAUGUCUGCUCUUACUUGAAUAGCGAGCUUGGAUUCUUAUUAGCCAUUUAUCACACAGAGGGACCGAAUUUGAGAAAAUCGUACGGAUGAAGCUUUCACAUGAACUUCUAAAGCCAUUUUGAUCCUCAAUUACUAGUUGAAGUAUACCAUAUCAAAGCUUUUUUUUUUGGGGGUUUAGGGUCACAGUAAAUUGGAGUUUGUUACUAUUGAAUGAAAUGCUCUGUUCAUUGUUUGAGACUUUUUAGGUACUGAUUUUAAGGCUUACUUGUCAUUUUGAUGUGCAUUGAUAUUGUUGGGCAGGUAAUGGAGGAAAGCCACAAGCAAGUGGAGGAAAGCCACGAGCAAGUGGAGGAUAUUGAUAGUGCUUCUAAUGGCAGUGAGAGCGAUUCUUUUAUAGAUGACUCAGAAGUUGAUGAAGUUUCGACAUCCGGACAAGACGACAAAUUGCAUCCAGAGGCAAGUUCUUACUCAUGAUAGGUUUUUUUUUUGGCUGGAAUAUGAAGCAUUUUUCCUUUCUGUUUUAAAUAUAUGAUGUUCUUAUCUUUGUUAUGCAGGAACCUUUAUCUGAUAAAGAAAUUGAGGAGCUUAUUGCUGAGUUUUUGGAGGUUGAGAGUAAGGUAUCAAUGUUUUCUUUUCUUUUUAACAGUAUUUCAACUAUGCACACAGAUAUACGUAUAUAGUUUUUAUGUCCAUGCUGAGUAAUUUAUUGGUUUUUUAUUUGAUGCCCAAUUUAGGCUGCGGAAGCUCAAGAAGCACUUGAAAAAGAGUCUCUUGUCAAAGUGGAGAGUGAAGUUAGAGAAGAGUUGGCACAAACUCUUCAUGGGGAUGAUGUUAGUUUCUUCCUUCAAAAUUCAUCCCUGUGGACUAGAUUGUCUUUACCAAUAACUUAUAUAUUUCCACCUGUCUAUAGCUGGAAACAGCUGUUGCAGAUGAAAUGACUAUUUUAAUGGAAGAGUGGCAAGCUGAGCUCGAUGACCUUGAGACUGAGAGUGCUCAUUUGUUGGUCUGCUCCUUUCUUCAAUUCUGAGUAAAUCUUUGGUUCCUAAUACAUUUUUAGCUUGCAUGUACUUUGAUGCUAUAAAUUUAUACAGAAAAUAAAAACCCGCUUAGUAAGAAGGAUUUGCCUCUUCUUGUUACUUAUCCAAGUGGGAUAUAAUUUCAGCUAGCCUUCCCACAAUUUUAAUUUCUAUGUCGAUUCACUUUGAAGAAAGUAUCAUUUCCUCUUUUCCAUUUUUUCUGGAUUUCAUAUUGCUCUCUGCAUAUCUUGACUCUUGUCUCAUUGUUUUUCUAUGAUUAUAACUUAUAGGGUAUAGUGGGUAAAGGGUGACAGCAUGUACCAUUUUAAAAGCUUUGUUUAUAUUUUGGGUUUGCUAAAGAAAAUUUAGAGGUUCUAACUUCAUGGGAUAUUAACUAAAGUUGUUUAUGAAGUUUUUUGCAAAUGUCUAUUUACUGACAAGAAUUUGUAUGUCCCUUACCAGUAAUCGUGAUAAACCUUUUAAUUUGAAAUAGAUUGAUACUUGCUUAAUUUGUGAAAUAUGGAACCUGAAAUUACGUCUACCUAUUUUAAAUUCCACGAAAGGAACAACUUGAUGGGGCUGGCAUUGAGCUACCAAGCCUUUAUAAGUGCAUUGAAAGUCAGGCUCCUAAUGGUUGCUGCACUGAAGCUUGGAAAAGGCGGAUACACUGGGUAGGAUCUCAAGUGACUGGAGAAUUUACUGAGUCAAGGACCGAUGCAGAGAAGUAUCUCCAAGCCCACAGACCUGUAAGAAGGUACAGUUCUACAUUUUUAGCUUUGUUGAUUCUGCAAGGUAUAGAGUUGAUGGCACAUAAACUUGCACUUUUGAACUUAGGCGACAUGGUAAACAAUUGGAAGAUGGCGCUAGUGGAUUUCUGCAGAAAAAGCUAACCAUAGAUGGAAACAAGGAUGCUGUGACUGCUGAGGUUGAUUGGUGUUCUCUCAACAAACUAUUUUCUGAUGGUGCAACUGGGGAUGGUGCUUCAUUCGGCAGUAAGCACUGGGCUUCUGUUUACUUGGCCAGUACGCCACAACAAGCUGCUGAGAUGGGACUCAAAUUCCCUGGGGUGAAUGAGGUGCCUAACUUUUUCAUUAACAUAAUUAUGGAAUUUCUGCUUGCUACCUAAAGCUAAUCUGGAAAAUAAGUUAUAAGAAAAGGAAAAGAGCAAACAAGAGGGAAUCGUAUUAGGUAAAGGAGGCUCUAUUUCAUGUAGUUUUAUCAUUACACUCAACAUGACAGCCAUUGUUUGUAGGUGCUGUGCUUGUUCUGCUUUCCUUUUCCCCUCUUUUUGAAUGAUCAUUCAUGGAGGUUUCCUAUUGUAAUUUAGAUCUGAAGCUUCUUAUAUGUUGGGGUGAUUGUUUGGUUUUGGGCGUUCUUAUGGGUUUCAGCAUCUUUGGAGGUUAAGGGUAGUUACUUUUCUGCCAUUUUUUUUUUUCCAAUUAGAAGCUACUCACUGCAACACAUGCUCUAUUUUGGCUUAGUGUGUUCUUUCAUUGAGUUUUUGAGAAUAAUUUUGCCAGGUGGAGGAGAUUGAUGAUAUUGAUGGCAAUUCUAGUGAUCCAUUUGUUGCAGCUGCCAUUGCAAAUGAAAGAGAACUGGAUCUGUCUGAAGAACAAAAGAAAAAUUAUAGGAAGGUAUGUUUGUGCCAUCCAAACUCCAAUAGUUGAUGUUCUUGCUGUUAACAUCAUCCUUGUUGUUACUUGUUAUUCAAAGAUCAAUUUUUACACACAAACACACAUUUACAUGUACUAAACAAUUUGGCUACAUGUAUAUUUGGUUUCCUACACCAAGAAUUAAUCAUGAACCUUGGUGGAUAUAUUCUCCACUUUGGUGAUAAAAUUAUGUUUCUUAUAAAAAAAGGAUAUAACGUGGAAUGGGUAUAAACAUGGAAAAUCAUGUUAGUUGGGAAAUUCUGAGGACUUUUUCACUGCUGUCUGGGAAUGUAUAUGGGUAUAGAAACCCCUUAAUAAACCCCGGUGUUGGUUUUUCAGUGUCCCCAUAAUUUUGCAAUAUUUCCACGAGGAUUGUGCAGUCUUACCUUUUUGACGUACAUUUUAGUUAACUGGUAUUUGAUUGAAUAUACUCUGUCUUAUCAUCUCUUUUAAUCUUUGAUGGCGGUCUCUUUGUCGCUUACCAACUUGGUUAGAGUAGGCAUAUGUGGAUAUGUUUGAUUUACCUUUUUCAUCAGUAGAUAGAUAACUCCUGCUGCUUUUAGACUUAUAAUCGACAUUGUUCCCUUCAUUAACUGCAAAUGUUCUUGAUAACAGUUGGUCGAGCUUUAAUUAAGUUGAUAGUGUUUCUGUACUUAUCCAUUGCAAGGUCAAAGAAGAGGAUGAUGCAUAUGUUGAUCGGAAGCUUCAAAUUCAUUUGAAACGGAAGAGACAUCAAAAGAGACGUAAACAGGUUAUAUUGUGCUUGUGUUUUCCCUCUUUCUUGAUUCUGGGAUUUUGAGUUGCAGUUUAGAUAACUUUUUAAAGUUCUAUUCAUAUUGCUAAUGUAGAGUUUGAGACAAGUUAUGGUGCUUAGUGCUGCAAUCAUUUGGUUGGUUAUCCUAGCCAGAGUCCAGCAGUCAUUAUAUGUCGUCUGUACAAUUGUUAUUCUUAUCAACUCUAUUUAGUGACAUCCUAUGGUUUUUCAUUUCCAGAAUCUUGUAAUUUUCGUUUGAAUUUGUUGUUGAGAAUUACUAAUAAGAGAGAAUUGACGGCCAUAUUAUAGUAAACUUACUUUCAUAUGAAAAAGGGAACAAAAAUAGAAGUCCCAUUGAUGAUUUUGGAUGUGAUUUUAGGGUUAUUGUGCUCUUCUUUUUCUUUCCCUUUUAUAGCACCAAGUUCAUUAGGGCUUUUUCUGUACAAGAUGUGGAGUUGUCCUGCAUGAGCAUACAUUUAACGUUCAUUAUUUCUUUUUUCCUGUUACCGAAUUAGGAUGUUAGAAGGAACGAAGUUUGCCUAGUUGAUCAGGACAUGGGUAUGACCUGCAUUUAGGCAUUCAUUGAUAUACAUUCUUUCCUCCUAUCAAAUCAGGAUGUUGGCAGGAAGGAAGUUUUCCCAGUUGAUCGGGUGAUAGAAAGCAACAUGGCCCAGUCUCCGUCUCUGCUAGACUCUGCUACCUGUAUCUCAAAUGGGAAAAUUGAUGAACAUGGUGAAAUUUUUUCUAACAAUGAUGAUGAGAUAGGAUGCCAAAAUAUGAAGUCUGCUGUGCUUGAAGAUUUGGAAACCUCUAAUAAUGUCGACCAAGAAAGCAUAAUGAGUAAUGGUUCUUCUCCGGUGCCUGAUUCUAGUGAAUCAAGAGGCUCCAAGCGUCUGAAUGAGGAUGAGGAACUAAACCUUGAUAAUAAGAGGGGUCGAACUGUUAUAAUAGAUAGCGAUGAUGAUGCUCCACUGAAAGAUAUUUCAGACUGCAAUUUGAUAAAAUCUGAGGACCAGUCCAAUGCGGAUGCGAGUAUCAGCAUAUCUGCCACUGGUGGUCUUCCUUCACAUGGUCUGAAUAAGAAGGUCUACUGCACUGCUUGUAAUAAACUUGCUGUCGAAGUGCGCUCACACCCACUUCUGAAGGUGAUUAUUUGUACAGAUUGCAGAUGCUUAUUGGACGAAAAGAUGCAUGUGAAGGUAUGGGCAUGAGUAACUUUUAUGCUUUCUGUAAUCUAUAUUUGAACAUUUUGUAUAAACUUUUCAUGGUCAUGCAGGUGAUAGAAUGUAUUAAACUGAUUAUUGGAAGGAAAUUGAUAUUAUAGUUUCUAAUGAAUCUAUAUCCUCAAUAGAAAGACCUUUAACUUUCUCAUCACUUUUGGCUGUCAUAUGUAAUGAAAAAAAAGGAAAGGAAAGCUAGCUCUUGUUAAUAUUUUAUAUUGUUAAUAAUCUUUCUAAACCGUUUAAUGCUUAUAAUUUUAUAUAUUUAUUUUAAGUAAAAGCUAGAUCUUUUAGUGACCUAAGAAGGUGUGCAGGAUCCUGAUUGCUGUGAGUGCUAUUGUGGGUGGUGUGGGCAAAGCAAGGACCUUGUAAGUUGUAAAUCUUGCAAGACGUCGUUUUGUACGACUUGUAUAAAAAGAAAUAUUGGAGAGGAAUGCUUAUCCGAGGCCCAGACCUGUGGCUGGCGAUGUUGUUUCUGUUGCCCAAGUCUUAUACAGACAUUGAUGUUACAAUUAGAGAAAGCAAUAGGUUCUGGAGAUAUGGUAGUUUCUAGCUCUGAUAGUGAUUCAGAUAAUUCAGAUGCAGAACUAGAUGUUGCUAUCAGGUAUAAUGGUAUUUAUUAUGGUGAUUUCUAAGUGAAUUAUUCUUCUCUCCUCUCUCUCUCUCUCUCUCUCUCUCUCUCUCUCUCUCUCUCUCUCUCUCUCUCUCUCUCUCUCUCUCUCAUUCUCUCCAUUGCUGAAGAAUGCUAUAGUUUAUGUUUGUUAGCAUUUUAAACUCUAAACAAGUGUUGAGAUUUGUUCUUGAGCGUUAGGUAUUUUUGUUGUGCUUACUGUGUUUCUGAACAUAUUUGGACUUUGUUCAGUUCUAAGAGGAAGAGAAAGAAGAGAAUUCGGAGGAUCAUUGAUGAUACUGAAUUAGGAGAAGAGACCAAAAGAAAAAUUGCAAUUGAAAAGGUACCUUCUUAUGAUGAUUUUGUAUUCUAACACAGGCCUUUUGGUACCGAAAUUAUUUCAUGAACCUAUCUUCUGUAGGAACGUCAGGAACGCUUAAAGUCUUUGCAAGUACAAUUUUCUGCCAAAUCUAAGAUGAAGAGCUCUGCAAGCUGUAAUGGGAAUUUACCCGAAGGUGCCAGUGCUGAAGUGCUGGGUGAUGCAUCAGCUGGAUAUAUAGUGAAUGUUGUGAGAGAGAAGGGUGAAGAAGCAGUCAGGAUCCCUCCAAGCAUCUCAGCGAAACUGAAGACACAUCAGGUUUUUCCUAAUCUGUUAACUAUUUUUCUCUUGAGGCUUUUCUUCUGUGAAUUCCCUUUAGACAUUUUGACAAAGCUGGGACUGAUAUCAAUGCUUUCCAUUUCUUUCACAUUGUUUCUUCGAAAUAAUACAUUCUGGGGACAUUCUUGUUCAACGCCACGGUUUUAGCUUUCCUGCAGCCUGCCAAAUCUUCUAUAUUCAGCCUGGUUAAGAAAUUAGUUACACGUGCACAUAUAUAUAUAUAUAUAUACUUGUUUAUUUCAGUUUUUCAUUGAAUGCACUAGCUCAAUUCGGAUCCAUUGGGAUUUAUGUUCAAAAUGAAAGCUUUGACUGGGACAGGACAUGCCAUGCUGAUUAAUGGCAGUCUGUUAUCUGUUAAUUUUCAGAUAUUGAGUAAGUAGCUGUAUAUUAUCUGCCUAGUGCCUGAAUGCUGAUAGUAUAGUCCUCUGUUCCAGUCUGAAUGUGUGAUCAGAUUUCCAUAUUGGUUCUCACAUAUAAUAAAAUAAUGGGUUCAAAGUGUUGAAGCCUGUGAUCAGGACGAGGAAAAAAUGGGUAAAGGGUGAGGGGAGUGUGCCAUGCCUCGACAGUUGAAAAGAGUUCCAUGUCUUACUUUUUCACUUGAAUUUCUUUAUUGCCAUGACCUGCUAGACCUAUUAUUGUUUCACAUAUUUAUCUUUAUAUGACCUCCUUGAUUUCUGGUUUGCAGUAAAAUUCCUCUGGGAACUCUCUUUUAUGUGUUAUUAACUUUUUAUGACUUGCCGUUUAUCUUUUAUAUUGUUUUUGUUACAAUCUGAUAUCUUAUCACAGAUUACGGGGGUAAGAUUUAUAUGGGAGAAUAUCAUACAGUCAGUCAGAAAAGUGAAGGCUGGGGAUAAAGGUCUUGGAUGCAUUCUGGCUCACAUGAUGGGCCUUGGUAAAACUUUUCAGGUAUUAUGUUCUGUCUGCUAAAUGCUCUUCCCAAUAACUCUGGGCAUUUCUUUAGAUUGAAAUAGGUGUCAGUGCAUGUAGCAAUGACCCUGUAGCCUGGUAGGAUAGCCUAUCUUGCAGAAUGCAAGGAGAUGGCUCAUAUUUUCUUUGCAGGGCAUAUAUUUUUAAGUGGUUGAUUGAUAUACUCUGCAUAAUUUGUCAAAUGGCUUUCACAGGUCAUAGCUUUUCUGUACACUGCAAUGAGAAGUAUUGAUCUGGGAUUGAAAACUGCACUUAUAGUCACUCCUGUGAAUGUGCUACAUAAUUGGCGGCAGGAGUUCAUGAAAUGGAGACCGUCAGAGCUAAAGCCUCUUCGCGUUUUCAUGCUAGAAGAUGUGUCAAGGUUUAGUUAACAUUUGUAUAUUGUUUCAUUCCAUUUCCAUCACAGUAAAACAUUUUGCUUCACUGUUGCAUUUUACCUUUUCAUGAAUUAAAGUCUAUUAGGUAUGUCUUUGUUACUUGGUGUUGUUGGUUGCUGACGAUACCUCUGUUUGCCAGGGAAAGAAGAGCAGAGGUUCUUGCAAAGUGGAGAGCUAAGGGUGGUGUUUUUUUAAUUGGCUACUCUGCUUUUAGGAACCUAUCCCUUGGAAAGCAUGUGAAGGAUCGACACAUGGCUCGAGAAAUUUGUCAUGCCUUGCAGGUAGGUUGAUUUUAAUUGUUAACCUCUAAAAGUGUCGUUAAUAUCAUGCGUCCAAUUCUGUAUUGAUUAUUAACAGUAACUUGUAGUCUGUCCCUUUCAAUGUCUUCUGACAGCCUAUUCAGUAAUAAGCUCCAUCAUGGUACCAUAUAUUUAGUAGCAGACUUUUUAAUUACCCUUGUUUAGUUUUCAUGUUCCCAAAACAUAGCAUGCAUCUUUUAUCUGAUCUUUUUAGAUUUUUCCAUUUCAUAUUGUCCCCUGUAUUUAUCAAUGAAAACAAUGUUGUUUGCAAAGCUUGUGACUUAUUGUUACAUUUCCAACUGUCAGGAUGGACCUGAUAUACUUGUUUGUGAUGAGGCCCAUGUUAUAAAGAAUACCAGGGCUGAUGUAACCCAAGCCUUGAAACAAGUGAAAUGCCAAAGAAGGAUAGCAUUAACUGGAUCACCUCUCCAGAACAAUCUCAUGGAAUAUUAUUGUGUGAGUUCACUUGAAAGCGAUACAUUGUUUUAUUUCUUACAAAUUACCUACUGUUUUGAUUCCUUUGAAAUUUUAAUUGUUCACAGAUGGUUGAUUUUGUAAGGGAAGGUUUUCUUGGAAGCAGCCAUGAGUUUAGGAAUCGGCAAGACUUCUUCACUCAAAACUUGUUUGCUGUGCAAUUUCGUUUUGUUUUUUUCCACAUAUCUUAAUACUGCCUCCCCUUACAUGCAGCUUCCAGAAUCCCAUAGAGAAUGGCCAGCAUACUAAUUCAACCGUGGAUGAUGUGAAAAUUAUGAAUCAAAGGUCUCAUAUUCUGUAUGAACAAUUGAAAGGAUUUGUUCAGAGAAUGGACAUGAAUGUGGCAAAAAAGGACUUGCCACCAAAAACUGUUUUUGUAAUAGCUGUUAAGCUCUCUCCCUUACAGAGGAAAUUAUACAAGAGAUUUCUUGAUGUGCAUGGAUUUGCUAAUGACAAGGUUUACAAUGAAAAGAUAAGGAAGAGAAGUUUUUUUGCUGGCUACCAGGCCUUAGCUCAGGUAUAUUGAGCACCUUUGUUAGGUUCCCGAAGUUCCAUUAUACUACAGACAAUAACAUGCACACACACACACACACACACAAGAGACACACACACACACACACACACACUCACACAUGCAUGCAUGCAAAAGCAUUCAGUCCUAUGCUAAAGCAUCCACUCCUAAGCGCUUCGUUAACCUUUAUUGACAUUUUAUGCAAUGAUAAACAUCCACUCUUAAUCUGUCAUGCUUCUUGCUUCAUGUAAAAUGUUGUAAUAUAUGAGCUUUUUGUCUGUAGUAGAUAUGGAACCACCCAGGGAUCUUGCAACUAAGAAAAGAUGACAAAGACUAUGCGAGACGCGAAGAUGCUAUUGAGAAUUUUCUUGCAGAUGACAGCUCUAGUGAUGAAAACAUUGACGAUAGUUUGGUUUUUGGAGGUAUUUUAUUCUCUCCCCUUUCUUUUCCUAUAAGAAGUCUUCCUUUUAUUUUUUAUUUUUUUAUGCCAUGAAUUGAUUUUGACAUUAGAUGACAGACUAAAAUACCGAAUCUUCUUUCAACAUCAAGAUGCUAGUUGAGCUCAGUAAUAAACCCUAAACCCUCAUUGAACGCUGAUGAUUAAUGUGUCAGAAUAAAAGGUUAAGCAUUUGGCAAUAUCGGUAAGCCAACGAAGUUGGUCAUAGUACCAGAGUAGGAGAUCUGGAGUUCAAUUCCCUGCAAUUACAAUCUCUCAAUAUAAGUUGAUUUUGCACAUGAUGGGCUUGUAGAAAUCCACAAGGUUAGGAGUCUUAAGGGGUCUGUUAUCUUCAAAGUUACAGUUGUGCUUGGCUAUCAGGCUAUCAGGGAACAUCCAUAUCUAUGUGGCUGUGCACUAAAUUUCUGUUCAACCUGUCUAAAUUGUCUUAUUUGUCAAGUCGUGCUUUGGCUAGUUUGAUGAACUGCUGACUACAAAUUAAUAAGGACACAAACUGUGAAAAACGCUUUUGCUGCUAUAAUUUCGCAUCAGCAUUAACAUUCUCAUACCUUUCCUUGCAUGGUAUGGCUGAGACAUGUUAAGAAAUCAUGGCGUGACUUUUUUUUGUCUCAUUUGUUUGGAUGCAUGUAUGUAAUCUUGUUGAGAAUAAUUCCUUCACAGUAUCUAAUAAUGGUAACAUAUCUUGCUUUAUAGAGAAGCAGAGGAAGAUCAAUGAUAUUUUGCCAGGGAAAAAGGAUGAUGACAUUUUUCAACAGGUAGGGAUAUGGACUAAAUGCAAUGUUGCACUUCAUUAAUAUUUGAUUUCCCUUCUAUUUGACUAUAUUUGAGAUGUGUCAAUGCCCUUAGUGUUUUACUAGGAAAAAUAAAUAGAACACUGCGUUGGGCUCUGUAGUAUACAUGACCAUCUGAAGUGUCGCUUGUUGUAACCCCCUUUCAUGAGGAAUAGGUGCACCCAAAUAAGUGCCUCCUUUAGUCGAUAUGGUGAGGUGCAUCCUUUUAUUGCCAUAAGGGUGCUGAAAUCCAGAAACCAGUCUCUAAAAAGAAGUUACAAUUUCUUACUUUUGUUUGUUAUUGUUCUCUUAAUUUUUGUUUGAGCGUAUUGCUAACCAUAUAUCACUUAUCAGGAUUGGUGGAAUGAUCUUAUUCAUGAGAAUAAUUAUAAAGAGCUUGAUUACAGUGGCAAAAUGGUAUUGCUGCUUGACGUUCUCGCCAUGUGUUCUGAUGUGGGCGAUAAGGCGUUGGUGUUUAGCCAGAGCAUACCAACACUUGACCUCAUAGAACUUUACCUUUCAAGACUACCUCGACAUGGGAAGAAAUGGAAGUUUUGGAAGAAAGGAAAAGAUUGGUACAGGUGGGUACAAUAUUACUGAAAACAAUUUACAGUUGUCCGACAGCAUAGGUUUUCUUGUCAGCUGCUUGAGUUUGUAACUUUAUUCAUCAAAAGAAUUCCCUAUUUGUCCAAGAGCUUGGCUUGUGCUCUGUAUCUUGUUCUUGCUUUGGUAGUGGGAAAUGAAAAACUUUAGAAGAAAGAGAUUUUAACUUGGCCCGCUUUUGUGUAGUAAAUCAUGUAGCCGUGAGGUUCUCACUUAUUUAUCCAGUCCAUUAUCACUUUCUUGCCUUUCUUGAAUGUUGGGCGUAACUCCUUACCCAUCGUCCUUAUUUUGACCUUUUUUUUGCUAUAGAUAUAAAUACGAUGGUCUUUAAAUAAAGGUGACACUUCCUUUUACUUAUGUCUUUCUCACUUGUUUCUUUUAUUGCUCCUCAGGCUAGAUGGAAGAACAGAGAGCUCAGAAAGGCAAAAGUUGGUUGAGCGCUUUAAUGAUCCCCUAAAUAAGAGGGUGAAAUGCACUCUGAUUUCCACCAGAGCUGGAUCUUUGGGGAUAAAUCUCCAUGCUGCUAAUCGUGUAAUCAUAGUUGAUGGUUCUUGGAAUCCGACAUACGAUCUUCAGGCUAUAUAUCGUGCUUGGAGGUGAGUUUGCAUUUAUGCUUUUGUAGUCCUCAACCAGCUUGUUUAGUAAGUGCACCUUGAUAUAGUGUAAUUUUGGGGGUAUAUCACAUUAAAAGCUGGUGAACUUCGUAACUUGGAGGGACUGUUUGCGGUUUUAGGUUUUAAGAGAGAUGAGUAGCUGCAAUUAUGAAAUUAUUUAUUGAAUUGACUGCAACAAUUAGAGGCCUUGGGGUUUGGUUUCUUGUGAAGUAUAAACUAGAAGUCAAACUGUGGGGCUAUUUUAUGAAUGGCAUUGUGGACUGUAAUAGAGGCUAAAUUUGGAGAUGGGGUGCAGGAGAUUUAUCUCAUUCUUUAUUUUUGGGAAAUAGAUAAGAAAGCUUUAGGCUUGUGCCAGAAAAUGCUCUUCAAGAUGGUCCCACCCCUCUAAUUCUUACACAUAGUUAUAUCAUAUCAAAGUCCUUGGUGGACGGGACAGUAAGCCUGAUGAUUAUUUUUCCUCUACCAAGCAUGGAAUCUUUCACGAACAAUGUGACAAAUUCUAAACAAUGUAUUUGUUCCAUUUUCAGGUAUGGCCAAACAAAGCCGGUUUUCGCUUACAGAUUGAUGGCACAUGGAACCAUGGAAGAAAAAAUAUAUAAGCGUCAGGUAAUGGGAGAACAAACUGGGUGUAUGGUUCUAUUAUGUGAAUGAAAUUUUAACAAAGGAAAUGUGGCAAAUAGGUAACGAAGGAGGGCCUGGCUGCAAGGGUUGUUGAUAGACAACAGGUACAUAGGACAAUAUCUAAGGAAGAGAUGUUGCAUCUUUUUGAAUUCGGUGAUGAUGAGAAUCAUGAGCUUGGCCAAGAUAAAGGAUGCUCGGACCAAAAUAUGACUGGUGAAGUUGAAAUUUUGCCUAAACACAAAGUGCCUCUUUCUCAAGGAAGUUGCUCUUCUGACAAGCUAAUGGAAGGUUUACUUGGCAAGCACUAUCCAAGGUAUGUUUCCAUGUUCUUAGUAUUUUCAUAAUCUAUUGGUAUAUGAUUUUGUUGCCUGGUUACAGCGGCCACCACUGGCAACUUUACCCUCCUCACUCACUCUCUUACGGAUGAACUACCCCGUUUUCAGGUGGAUUGCCAAUUUCCACGAACAUGAGACUCUUUUGCAAGAGAAUGAAGAGGAAAAGCUCUCAAAGGAGGAGCAAGACAUGGCUUGGGAAGUAUACCGGAGAGCAUUGGAAUGGGAGGAAGUGCAGAGAGUUCCUCUCAAUGAAUCUGCAGUGGACCGAAAGCCAGCUGCACUAAAUGUGGCCUCAUCUGCACCAGAGAUGAGCAGCCUUGCUGAAUCGAAAGCGAAGGAUAUUUCUGUGCAGCGGAAAUGCACUAAUCUUUCACAUUUGCUAACCCUUAGAAGUCAGGGGACAAAAAUUGGUUGCACUACUGUGUGUGGGGAAUGUGGUCGUGAGAUAUGCUGGAAGGAUCUGCAUCGGGAUGGCAGGCUUGCAAGGUGAACGAGAGUGCCUUCCAAGUUGUAGAUUGUGUGAUGUAAAUGGUUCGAUUGUAUAUUGCAGUUUCUGUAGGUUCAAUGCCCCCUUGAACACAAUUGGAACAUUCUUUUUGGCGUACUUGUUUUGUUUUGAUGAGGAAAUGUCCUACUCCUUGAUACCACAGAAAUAGGCUUGUAUAAAUCAAAGUUGCGAGAAUGAACUGAGCAAUGAAAAUCCGAAACCUUUUCCUUGGGAUGAAUUUGUUGAGAUGUUUUUUAUUUUGUAUUUCAUCUUUAUUUUUAAAAUACACCCAAUAUGGUCCUGAUUUCAUAAUUCAUUUUUUGAAAUGAAAUUGUUUCUUAAUGAGUUGAAGAGGAAGAAGAUAAUCAGAACAACAAUCAGUAGGACGUACCGUAUUCACUAUCAGAAUGAAUUGAAUUAAACGGGAAAUGCUCUUCAACCUCAACUACAAAGGGGCCGAUUGGCAAUUAAUUUCACAAACAUAUUGCAAGUUUUAUAAGUUUACACAAUCGAUCUCUUGUUUUUACUUGUCCACGUGAUCAACUUCUGAUUCUGAAACAAAUUAAGGUGAAAAUCGAAUAAUGCGCUCUUCAAAGCCUAUUCCUCAUUCAUUCACAUAGGAGAAGUUCAUGCAUAGGAAGAAAAAAAAAAAAAAAGAGUGGAAAAUCCCGAUAUCAAACAAGUGAUGGUCCUAAUGUGUUUAGGAAUAGCGAAUAUGUAUCCUUGAUCAUCAAGGAAAGGGUCUUGCAUAGAAAUCGGUGAUCGUUUCUUAGCAAAUAUUGUUUUUUAUUUUUUUAUAUAGAUAAUCUGGGUGAAGAAUUAGAAAGCUCGUUUGUUUUGCUUAUAAACAGCAAUAUUUUCUUACAGAUAAUCUUUACACAGCUAUUUGAAAUCCAGAUUUAAGAGUUGGAAAACGGGUUCAAAUUGUCCUUUAGGUUUAGGAAUUGUUAAUGCUUCUUUCUUGAGUAUCAAGAAAACGGUUUUACUUGUAAGUAAACAGUAAUAUGUGUUCUCCAUAACUCCAAGAUCCCCUCAAAUACAAGUAACAAUAUUGUUUGUUUCAGAAACUAAUUAAGUCAUCAAAACUCACAAUCAAUAUACUUAAGCACUGAUGAGGGCUAAACGACAUUAUGUAUUUUAUGAUGACGACCAUGAGGAUACUGGAACUUAGGUGACCAUAAAAAAUAAAAUAUUUAUUUUCGGAAUAAAAUCUUUUGGUUUCUUUUUACUUGGCAUGCAUUAAAUUAUAACUUAAUCUAUCCCUCGAAUAGAUUAUUAUAACUUAAUAUUCUAUCUCUCGCAUAAAUUAUAAGUUAAAAGGUAACAAUUUGAUCCCAUAACACGAGCUUUGGCCCAAAUUGAAGCGAAUCGGUUCAGCUCCCUUCCCGCCUCCAUUUCAUGCGAAUCUUCAAGACGUGGGUUGAAUGCUGUCCCUCUAAUACUCUCAAUAAUAUGCGAAUCUUCAAGACGUUUGCCGUUGAAGAAUAGGGUUUGCUGGGAUACAUUUAUCCCUAGUAAAGUUUCAAUAUGUUGCUUUAUAGAUUCCACAGUCUCAGCCAGGCUCACCUUAAAAACUUUGUCAUUAUGCCCUUUACGCUCCACAACCAAGUUGUGGUAGUUCCUGAAAAUAAAACCUCAAAAUAAGGAUUUGUAUUGUUGUUUUAAUUUGUUUUUAAAUCAUUAAAAAAAAACAAUUAAGAAGAAGUGUUUGAGAAUGGGUAAUUAAGUCGCAUAAUAUAUGGGUCUUGCUUUGGAUUUUCAGAAGCUUUAUUUGGUGGUGCAAUUCAGGGAGCAACAUUACUGUACGUAACAACAAACAAAACAAAAAAGUAGGAUACAUACAUAAUUUCCAAACAUCUCCAUCCCCUCCCUUGCUACGCCUUCGUUACGGGAAUUGGCUUCUACUCUCAGAAGUUGAUUCUCCUCCUCGCCAACUGCAUUACCGUCAUUGGCUACUACUCCCUGAAGUUGAUCCUCCUCCUCGCCAACUGCGUUACCGUCAUUGGCUGCUACUCCCCGAAGAUCCUCCUCCUCUCCAACUACGUUGCCGUCAUUGGCUGUUACUCCCUGAAGAUCCUCCUCCUCUCCAACUACGUUGUUAGAAUUCUCUGUCUGUAUAGUAUUUUCAGAUUAGGAAGAGGUGUAUAUUCUGGAGCUUUUAGCUAGAGAGAAUGAAGAGAAAUGGGGAAGGCACUGUUCUAUUGAAUUCUUACAAUCUGCAGCUUACAUAGUGUGUCUGACAGAGAGAGAAAUGUGAUUCUCUCCUAACAGAAUUACAGCUGUCACCCUAUUAGGUGCUUAUACGUGUCAUACCAAAUCUAAGCUAGAGAAUCCACCUAGACUAUGAUCUAAUGGUUCUCAUUACAUCAUUUAAAAUAGACUUAACAGAAAAUAGAAAAUGACUUCAGCUCUAAGAAAUCUGUAGAAGGAUUAUAUUUCAACACUCCCUUCUAAUCCUUUAGCUGAUUUCACUCCAAGCAAGCUUCUCAACCUCACAAACCGAUCCUUAGGCAGAGCCUUAGUCAAAAUGUCUGCUAUCUGAUCUUCUGUCUUGCAGUACACCAGUUCAAUUUCUUUUGCUUGAAUGGCUUCCCUUAUAAAAUGAAAUUUCCUGCUGAUGUGUCUUGUCUUUUGGUGAUGAACUGGAUUCCUUGCCAUUGCAAUUGCAGAGGUGUUGUCACAUAGAAUUGGAGUCCCUUCUACCUGUACUUCACCAAAAUCUUCAAGCACAAAUCUGAGCCACUUAGCUUGUGAAGUUGCUUCUGCAGCACUCACAUACUCAGCUUUGGCUGUAGAUAAAGCAACUGUGUUUUGCUUGAUGGAAUCCCAAGAGAACAUGCCUGAGCCUAGUGUGAAGGCAUAUCCUGAGGUACUCCUCAUAUCAUCCUCACUCCCAGCCCAGUCACUGUCGCAAUACCCAAUUAGAGUAGCUGUUUUCCCCUUUGCAAACUCAAUUCCAAAAUCUAAUGUGCCUUGUAUGUAUCUCAGCACCCUUUUAGCAGUUCCCAUGUGUUUCUUUGAGGGAUUGUGCAUAAACCUGGCAAGCAAGCUAGAUGCAAACAUGACAUCUGGUCUUGUGGCAGUUAGAUAAAGCAGACUUCCUACAAUCUGUCUGAAUUCAUUUUCAUCUGCUGCUUCACUUCCAUCUUCUCUACACAAUUUCUCAUUCACCACUAAUGGAAUUGCCACUGACUUGCAGUCUCUCAUUCCAAACUUCUCAAGAAUUUUCAUGGCAUAUUUCUUUUGAUGAAUGAAAAUAUGCUUAUCAGUUUGUUCCACUCCCAUGCCAAGAAAAUGGUGUAACAGACCCAAGUCUGUCAUCUCAUAGUGUUGCAUCAUAUCUUGUUUAAACUCUUCAAGCAUUUUAGGACAGCUUCCAGUAUAUAUAAUGUCAUCUACAUAGAGUGAGACAAUGAUAAUACCUGAGGUGUCACUUGUUUUGAUAUAGAGAGUAGCUUCACUUAAGCUCUUCUUAAAACCUGCAGUGUUGAAAUAGGCAUCUAUUUCAUCAUACCAGGCCCUUGGGGCUUGUUUCAGUCCAUAUAGAGCCUUGUUCAACCUGUAUACCUUGGUUUCCUUGCUCUCUUGAACAUAUCCUUGAGGUUGUUCAACAUAAACUUCCUCCUUUAGAAUGCCAUUGAGAAAGGCAGACUUCACAUCCAGUUGAAAUAGGUUCCAUUCCUUUUGUGCUGCAAGGGCUAUCAAGGUUCUGAUGGUGUCAAGUCUUGCCACAGGGGCAAAUGUCUCAUUAUAGUCGAUUCCAGGCUUCUGUGAAUAGCCUUUAGCCACAAGCCUAGCUUUAUUCUUCUGCACAGUACCAUCUAGGUUCAGUUUGACCUUGUAGACCCACUUAACACCAAUUACUGGUUUGUCAAAUGGCCUGUCAACUAAUUUCCAUGUAUUGUUCUUCUCAAUCAUCUCGAAUUCAGCCUCCAUUGCACUUCUCCAUGAUUCAUCCAAAUCUGCUUCUUCAAAGCUGUCAGGUUCUAUAAUGCACAUGUUGCAUUAUGUCAUGAUGUCAUUAAUACUCCUCCACUUGUGAGGUGUGUGAUCAAACCUUUGAGUCUCAUCAAGCAUUUCUUCCCCUUGAGGUUUAAUUUCUUCUUCCAUCUGCAUUUGAGUAUCCAAAAACUGAGAUUGUUCAUCUAACACCCUCUGUUCAGUUUCUGCAGUACCUUGAUUUCCAUUUGGCAUAGACAUUCUCACAUCUGCAUUGCUAGGAUUCUCCCAUUUCCAUGAGGCUUCUUCAUCAAAAUAGACAUCCCUAGACAAGAUAAUCUUUCUAGUCUUAGGAUCAUACAGUCUAUAGCCUUUUUCACACAAUCCAUAGCCCACAAAAAUGCAUUUGUGACUGUUUUCUUCCAACUUGUGUCUCAAAACAGAAGGAAUAAGUACAUGACAUAGGCAUCCAAACACUUUCAAGUGUGCAAUACCUGGCUUUCUUCCUGUGUAGGCCUUAAAUGAUGUCAUUUUCUUAAGAGACUUAGAAGGAUACCUGUUGAGAAGGUAGACUGCUGUAUGAACAGCUUCUGCCCAAAACUCAUAUGGAAGACUCUUUUCAUGUAGCAUAGACUUUGCCAUCUCAAUUACAGUCCUGUUCUUCCUCUCAACAACUCCAUUUUGUUGAGGGGAAUAUGCUACAGUCAGCUGCCUUUGUAUUCCAGCCUCACUGCAGUAUGCAAGAAAUUCAUUUGACAUGAAUUCUCCACCUCUGUCACUUCUAAGUGAUUUCACCUUGUGUCCACUCUGCAAUUCUGUCAUUGCUUUGAACUUCUUGAAACAUUCAAAAGCAUUAGAUUUAUUUCUGAGAAAAUAAACCCAAGCCAUUCUUGUAUAGUCAUCAAUGAAUAACAGGAAAUAUCUGUUUUCUGACAUUAAUGCAAUCUGCAUUGGACCACAGAUGUCAGUGUGAACUAAUUCAAGUGGAAACUGAGCUCUCCAAGUAGAUUCUGCAGGAAAUGAGUCUCUAUGCUGCUUUCCCAGCUUGCAGCCUUCACAAACUGCAAAAUCCUUCUCCAGACUAGGCAGUCCAUGAACCAUGUCUUGAUUUGCCAGCAUCCUGAUGCUUUGAUCAUUAAGAUGGCCCAGCCUUUUAUGCCAAGUCUGCAAACUGUGAGUCACACUUGCUCUCAGCACCAACUGAGUAGCAGGUACCAUUGUGAGAGAGAAACACCUAUUGCUAGUCAUUGGAACCUUAGCUAUAGGAUUUUGCAGUGACCAAUCAUCAAAAAUUGUCACCAUUCCCUUUCCAAAUACUAAACAAUACCCAUGUUCCAUCAUCUGACCAACACUGAGCAAGUUCUCUUCUAAACCAGGCACCAACAUCACUUCUUGUGUGUUUUCUGCCUGUCUUGGUUUCUAUCACAAGUGUGCCUUUUCCUGCAACUUGAACUGUCUCUCCAGUCCCCAUUUUCACCUUAGAAGUUACAUCCCUUCGAAUAUCUAUCAGUAGCCUUUCAUCUCCAGCCAUGUGGUUACUACAACCACUGUCCACAUACCAAGAAUUGUUCAAUUUCACACCUGUCACGGCAUUGCAUGCAUAAAACAAUGUUCCAGUUACUUCAACCUGAUUGGCAUAAUUCACCUUCUGCACAGGUUGAUUUCCAUGGCAAUCUCUAACCAUGUGACCAAACUUUCCACAUCCUCUGCAUUUUGGUUUUCCUUCAAACCAGCACUUGCCAUAGUGCAGUUUUUCACAGUGCUUGCAAGGUGUUUUAGUUCCAUCAUUUGAUGCAUUUGGUUUGGGAUUAGAAUUGGACUUGUUAUUCCAAUUCUUCCCAUUUUCCUUCCAGUUCCUCUGAGACUUGUUACCUCCAGAAGAACUUCCAUUCUUAGAGCUUUUACUCUCUAUGUUCAGGCUAGUAAAAGCCUUUUCUGUGGAAUUUUCAGUGUGCCUAUCCAAUCUGAGCUCAAAGUUCUUGAGAGACGCAACCACUUCUUGAAUUUCAAGAGUGUCAAGAUCCUUUGAAUGCUCAAUCACAGAACAUAUAGAGUCAUAAGAUCUAGGCAAGCUAAUAAGUAAUUUCUGCACAACUCUUUCUCUAGGUAACUCUUCACCAUAACUUUUCAUUUGAUUAAUUAGAUCAAACAGUUUAGCAACAUAACCAGAUAAUGACUCACUAUCCUUCAUACGAGUGUAUUCAAACUCUCUACGUAAGCCUUGUAGCUUCACACUUCGUACCUGUUUAUCGCCUCUAAACUCCUGCUUCAGAAUAUCCCAUGCACCUUUUGAGGUUUCUUCAUUCACUAUUUUGGGAAAAAUUUGGUCUGAGACUGCACCUUGGAUCAGUCCAAGUGCACGAGCAUCUUUCAUCAAAAUCUCAGCCGAUGUAGACUUCUCUUCUUCAGCAGCUUUAGAUCCUUCUUCCUUUCCUUUUUCCUUCUUUGGAUCUGAAGCAUCAAAACCAUGUUCAACCAAAUCCCACAGUCCAUGAGAUUUCAGAAUGGUCUUCAUUCGAAUGCUCCAAAACUCAUAGUUUUCUCCAUUGAAAACUGGUGUAAGAAGCUCGGAAGAGCUUGAUCCUGCCAUGUUAGACAUCAGACGCAGCUAGAAAAGCUUCGUGAAGUUUUGAGUGAGCUCAACGUCAGCUCAGCCAAACACCAGCUCGAUUCUCACAAAUUCACGCCCAACAAACAAUCGAACCUGGCUCUGAGGCCAUGUUAGAAUUCUCUGUCUGUAUAGUAUUUUCAGAUUAGGAAGAGGUGUAUAUUCUGGAGCUUUUAGCUAGAGAGAAUGAAGCGAAAUGGGGAAGGCACUGUUCUAUUGAAUUCUUACAAUCUGCAGCUUACAUAGUGUGUCUGACAGAGAGAGAAAUGUGAUUCUCUCCUAACAGAAUUACAGCUGUUACCCUAUUAGGUGCUUACACGUGUCAUACCAAAUCUAAGCUAGAGAAUCCACCUAGACUAUGAUCUAAUGGUUCUCAUUACAUCAUUUAAAAUAGACUUAACAGAAAAUAGAAAAUGACUUCAGCUCUAAGAAAUCUGUAGAAGGAUUAUAUUUCAACAUACGUUACCAUCAUUGGCUGCUACUCCUUGACCGUGAUGGGGAUCUUCGCCAACCACGUUAUCAUCACUGACUGCUACCUGACCCUCAACAACGGUUCUACCACCGUAAUAAUCAUCUAUGAAUACACCGUCAUAUUUAAGUUGUUUGUAAUAUGAUGGUGAUUCUUGUCCAGGUUGUUCAUCCGUUGUACUUAAAAUCACAAACUAUAUUUAUGAAGUAAGAAAGAAAAGAAGCAACAAUGAAAAAGAUAUGAUCGAGAAGAGAAGCUUGUGUGCAUGCACAAUGGGGGUAGAGAGAGAGGGCUGUAUAUAUAAUAGCUCUGUGAUCAAGUAAAUCACUAUCUAUUUCUUCUUUUUCCUUACUGUUUUGGGAUAAUAGCUCCUGACUUAAUUACACUUUUUGAUAUAUCCCAGUUUGUUUUGGGAUAGUAGCUCCACACUUGCCCUUUUUUAUAUGGCGGCUUGGGAUAGUAAAGCUCCUCACUCGCCCUUUUGGAUAUCCAGUUUGGUUUGGGAUAACAGCUAGCCCCUGACUUUGGAGUACAUACCAAACUAUCCCAAAUAAGUGUCUUGAAUGGUUGUGCCAACAGCGAUUCCUAUAGAAGCCCAAAUGUGUGCUAUUGGUUUGUCUUUGGCUGUUUUUAAAAACAAAAAGCAAAUCAAAAUUAAAAAAGAAAAUUUUGAACCCAGCAUUGGUCUGUUCAGCAUAUGUGUUCCAAAAUUGACCAUGUACCCACACCAAAUCCAACCCUUCUAAUGCAUCAAACCCAGGAAAACAUAUUGUUCAAACCUAACCCACUAAGCCACCACCGCCUCGCCACCGCUCUCCUGAUUCACUGCCAUUGCAGAUAUAUGUUUUCCUUGCUUAAUCUUAAUAUCCAUAUGAGAACAAAUUUUUUUUCUUUUUCUUUCUGAUCAUAUAUCUUCAAUAUUAUUUGAAUGCAAAAAAUAUAGCCACAUUUAUGGCCAUAUAGUUGAUCGUGGAAUUUUCCUUGGGCAAUAUAUGUGGAUAUUUAUUGUCUUUUUUAUCUGUCUCAUUGACCUCUUUGGGGAGCCGGCGGUCUUGAGUCCUACUGAAGCCAUUUAUGGGGGUGUGCAAAGUGUAUGAAACAACGAGUCGUUUUAUGGUGAGGGUGUCAUAUAUGGAUUAUAGAUGUUGACUUCUAUUUUAGCCACAUGAUUCAUCUGAAUAGUAACCUCACUUAAGUUUAAUAUGAAAUGAUCUUGUGACUAAUAUGAAGGUCCGAAGGGUUCAUAUUUGGCAUAUACGGAACCGCGAUCGAGGGAGGCUUUUCUUCUUUCCUCGGCUUUCCUCACUUUAUCGCACUCGAUGAAACGGAGAGCAAAAGAACCUUAACUUUAGCAAACUAAGAGACAAACAAGGAUGGGAAGCUACUCACCCUCGUUUAGUAGAACCUAGUGAGGGAAAAGCACCCGCUGCUCUUGCUAUAAUAGUAUUAUAGUAAGGCACGCUACUCCUUCCUUUAGGAACAAUGGCCGACUAGUCUCUUACACAAGUAUUGAUGGAGUCGUACGCAUAGCUCCCUGUUUCUUUUUUAGUGUACAUACCUCGGCUCGGGGUUUAUUCUUUAUUAAUAAGUGGUUUAGCACCUCACUAUAAAAUUUCGCAUGAAAACAUAGUAAUAUUAGCAAAAUGGGCUGCAUGAAAGCCUUUUGCAUUGGAGCCUAAUAAAGUCGGGAAUUAUACUCGCAACGCAAAAGCCUGUAGAUUCAGUAUUAUCAAACCAAAAUCCAACGUCGGAAUUACCGUAAUGUCAUAGAAAAAUAAAACAUAUUUCCACCAAACUCUCACUGCAUUAUGCUGCAUUAAUUAAAAUAAAAAUAAAAGCUGUAUAGGUGAUGAAUUGAGAAAAGCCAACAAACUAUCUCCCAUCUGUCGUCGUCAAUACACAAAUAAAGGACUUGCCCUCCUUUCAUUUAUGUUAGUCUUUUUUCCUUCAAUAUUUCAAUUAUUAUUCUACGGGCUAGAUGGCAGACCAGAGAUAGCUUAUAGAGGCAAAAGCUGGUUCAGCACUUACACGAUGGGAUCCCCAAAAGUUAAAAACAAGAGCUGCACUGCACUCUGAUCUGAUUGGUAGAGUAUAUUAUUAACUACUGUACGUAGAUGAUAUUGAUUAGUGAAAGAAUUAAACACUUGAUUACAUCGAAACACAACAAAUUAAGCAUCUCAACAAGUAAAUAAUAUAUUUCUAAAAUACAGAAUCCAUCCUUCAAUUCCUAGUUUUUUAGUUAUAUAAUUGAUCAUCUUGUAGUGUAGUGUAAACUCAUGGACUAAACGACCACAAUUGGAGCAGCAGAACCCAACAUUCAAUCUCUCAACCUCCAGAUUAUUCAUCAUAAUCUCAACCCCUCAACGCCCUUAAUUGCUUGAACAUAAUUUGCAAGCCUCUUUACACGAUGUGCCGGAGGCAUAUUAUGAACAAUGCAGUCUUCCACAAUACUCCUAACUAGCUUCAAUCCUUUAAUUGGACCCAUCGCAGCAACCAUGUCAUUCUAUUCAUUUACAAACAAAUAAAAAAUCAUUAGAAGUCAUAUUUCUCUUCUCACUCCACCUGUGUAGGAGGAACAAAUAAAAUAAAUUUACAAAUUUGAGAAUGUGAAGGUAAAAAGUUCCACAUUGAAAAGUUAGAAAACCUUGUAAGGACUUAUAAGGAGUUGGGCUACUCACCCAAUUACCAAUUGGUUUUGGGGUGGAACCUCAACUUCCUUCAACAAAUACAAUGAUCAAAAGUAGGGAAAAAACACUAACAUUUGGGCGGAGAUAAAUGGAACAGCCUGUCAGUUUUUCAAGUUCCUGCAUUCCAAUUACAUUAUGAGAAAAGAAUACAUAAACGACAAGCAGAAAAAAGUAAACAUGAUAUAGAACACUUGUAUGCACCUGUAUCGGGAGAGUCGUGAGCAGUUUCUUCCGGGAAACAUACUUAUCCUGCAUAAACACAUUACAAGAUAUUAGAAAAAAAAAAGAAGAAGAAGCAAAUAACUGAGCUUUUGCAUAUUUCCAUCAUUACGGAGAGCUCAGGCUCUUCAUGUGAUAGAGAGCAUAACACCAGAAGUUUUUUAACACCAUCAUCAUUACAGACAUCCAAGAAGUUUUUUAAUACAAGUGAUAUUCUACUUUAAUUUAAUCCAAACUAUGCGGAGGGGGAUUCGAACACGGAUACAGAGUGGGAAUAAGUCAUAUUUUAUUGUCACAUUAAUUCUUUUAUCACCACACCCUAACCAAUUGUAAACCUUUUUAAAUUCAAAUGUCAUGCUAUAUAGUACUCUUGAAAAUUUAAUGAUUCUGCAUCAUAACUACAGAAGAAUGCUUAUGAGAACAUAAAUAACUACACACAAACAAAAAUUGAAGGAAAUUUAAGAAAUACCCACCGUCUUGAUCCCAAAUUUUGAGCAAAGCCCACCUAAAUGAUACCCAGUGUAGAUAAGGUAACAUGGCAUUCCGUACGUUACUUUUAAUGCCUGGAUCAAAAUGUUGCACACUCAAAUCAGAAGUUCAUUAAAUAGAAGAAAGCUCUAUAAAAUAAAAAAGAAAGAAAGAAGAAGAAAUCAGUUCAAUGAGAACAGAAAUCCUUGGAGGAUUCAAGCAGAAAGGAAAAGUCACAAUAAGUUUCUAUAAUUAAUAGUAGAUAAAUUGAACUUGAGCUUUCCAUUGAGAUGUAAAUAUUCUAAAAUAAAAUAAAUAUAUAUGCGAUUACCGUGAGAGAAAAAGGAAUAAUCACUCUUGAAGAAUAACUCGUAGGUUACCAUAAGAAACAAUAAGAAAAUAUUUGACAUUUGUACCUGACGUGGAGGAACUUCUGCUGCCAAAAGUCGGAUAAGAUAUCUAGAAUUGAGAAUAGCGUAUGGGUCCUUAGCCCUGGUUGUUGUGAAUGUUAUGAAAAACUGAUCCUAAACAUGAUAAUAAAAAUAAAAAACAACUUAAUAUGUGCAUAAGCAUAACUAAAACUACUCAAUAUGAGAAAAAAAUAAUCAUACAUGGUUUGAAAAACAAAAACACUAAUCCAUAUAGUUCAACAUUUAUUAUAAAAUACCAUAUCCAAUUCACAUGAAAUGCCAUAUUCUUCUAAAGAUGAUUCCAGCACCGGCCACGCUUCUUGCAAAUCUGUUGCUGUUAAAAACCAUGCAGAGACUCAUAAGUAAGAAAGAUUUGUUCUUUAACAUAAUUAUCAUAGUAAUAAUCACAUUUGCUGGCCCGCCCCACUUCAGAUUUAAAACUUAAAAAUAAAUUAAAAAGGUUUGUCCUAAAAUAAGUUUGAACCCCAAUGGGAAAAUCCCUCCAUGCCCCACCUCAUCUCCCAUUCCAGGACUUACUCCAGUCACCCUUCUCUCUCCUUUGUCUUUCUUCUAAUUAUUUGGUUCUUCUAGAUUCUUUUAUCUUGCUCACAGCCCACCCCACCCUACCACAAUCAGCGGCUGCUUCUGCUUCUUCUUCUGUGAGUUCCCUGCGGCCUCUGAUAAAUUUAUUGCCUAUGGAUUGUUUUAGGAUUUUUUUUAUUUAUUUAUAAAUUUUUGGUUUCUGGUUUUUGUCUGAUUUAGGGUUCUAAAUUAGCAUAAGUAUUGUUUAGUCAGGGUUAGAUUAUGCUUUCACCUAGGGAUUCAAAUUAGGCUAUGACUUUGGGGUUGUUUCUUUUAAAUUCUCCCAAAAAUAUCAUAAUCGUUGCUAGAACGAAAAAAGAAAAGGAAAUUUUCAUGAGCAGGCUAACAAAACGGAAAAAAUAAGAGAAUAAGAAGAGAGAAAAGUACUCGAGCGUCUACGAAAAGGCAUAAGGAGAAUGCUGUAAUCAAUUGGGCUAUCUUUGUUCGAUGCAGGGGGGCCAGACUUGUCCAUCUCCAUGUGGUUGAUGCUUGGAUGUUCACUUUGUUAUUCAUCGCUCUUGUUUUGAAACCCUAGGCACAGACAGAGAAUGAGUUUCUGCAGUGAAUAAUAAUAGGGUAAAUUUUAUUUUACUACCCGGAUGUUUACCAAAGUUAAGAGUUUAACUACCUAAGUAAAGGACCUAUUAGUGUGGUAGUUUGAAGUAUUUACUCCCUCAGGCAAGGUUCUGGGUUCAAGUCCUAGCAACCGUGUUGUGUAUGUGAGUUUAAUAUGCUAUCGCCCCUUUCAAUAGGAAAGGUUCUUUUAAAAAAAAAAAAAAAACUAAAGUUUUUUUUGGUGUCAUAUCCAAAAUGAAUCCGGAUCCUCUGCUUUGAUUUUCUCUAUCAUAAUUUGCUUAACUUUUCACCAUAUGACACCUCAUUAAAAUUUAAUAUAAGAGAUUUAAAGUUUGACACGUCAUCUCUAAAAUAAAAAUCUAAUUUACCAUUAAUUAAAAAACAAAAAACGAACCCUAAUUGAACUAUCAAGAAACUUAAGUCCUGCAAUUUUUUUUGGUAUCUCCUUUCUCUUCUUUCGUUCUCUACAGCUUUUCAACCCAAUUGCACAAUUAAUUAAUUUUUUUUAAUGGGAGAAAAUGCAAUUUUCUUAUUUUGUAUUGGUUUGAUUAAAGACAACUUUUUGUACUUCUUUUGUUGGUUUGUUUGCUGUAAUCCUGAGUCUCUUUUUUUUUCUUUACUGUGCUCCCUACGCCCUGUUGGAUUUGAUCUUUUAGACUUUUUUUUGGCUUUGUUUCUCCUGAUGAUACCAAAACAUUGAAAUCCAAUUCAAAGCCAGACAGAAAACCAACUAGUUUCGGUGAGAAAGGGGAAGUUCUGAAUUGUUGCAGAGAUAGGAAGAAAACCAAAAAAACAUAGAAGAUCAUGUAGAAGGGACCAAUAAAUAAGAGCUUGUAGCUGGGACAAAAAAUAAGAGAAAAGUAUGCCAUCAAACAACCCCGGAAUCCAGAUAUAUUGAAACAUGAUUUCUCUUUUAUCUAGAGGAAAAGCACGCCCUCCGUUUGGAUGAAGAAAUUGAAACUUACAUAGAAUUUUAAAAUGACGGAAUUUCGAUUUCCAUCAUUUCAAUUUAUGGCAAUUGAAGAUUUUAGUGUUUGGAUUUAUGUAUGUUGAAUUUUGUAAAUGACGGAAUUUUGUACAUAGUACUAUGGAAAUUGUGAAAUAACGCCUAUUUUGAUGGAAAUUAAACUCGAGAAUUUGAUGCUCCAAUUUCCAUCAUUUUUUCCGCGCUUCAUUUAAUAAAUUCCGUGCUUAACUUGCCAAACAAAGGAAUUGUCAAUUUCUCCUCUUAAAUUCCCAAUUUUUAGCUAAAUUCCAAGCUGUUUUCUCUCAUCCAAACGAAAGGCAGGAAUACCUUUUUUUUUUUUUUUUUUUUUUUUUUUUUGGGUUUUUGAAACCACCCUCUUCAUGGAUAUGGGAAGUUAUUUUUUUUAUCUUGUAGAAAGGAAAGAGAAGAGAUUACAGAGGUUUUGGGAAAGGAAAUCUUGCAGAGGUCGUUAGUUGUGUUAGGGUUUUUUUUUUGUUUGUUUUUAAAUUCGUAGUAAAUUGGGUUUUUGUUUUAAAGAUAUAUGUCAAAUUUUAAACUCUUUAGAUUAAAUUAUAAUGAGUUGGCGUGUUGAGAAUAAAAGUCAAGCAGAUCAUGUUAGGGAAAAGCAAAGCAGCAGAGGAUCCGAAUCCAUUUAUAGAAUAGGUUUGCGUAUUUGUAAUGGUAAUCGUCUUUGAUGGUAACGGUUAUGAUAAUGAGUUUUGAUGAUUGAGGUCAUCGCCUAUUGGGCUUUUAUGAAAAAAGACCACUUCACAAUCUAUUUCAGUUAAUUCACUCAAAAAUAAAAUACAUAUUAUUUCUUUUACAUAAGCGAUUUUAGGUAACGAAGGAGAGGGCCUGGCUGCAAGGGUUAUUGAUACACAACAGGUACAUAGGACAAUAUCUAAGGAAGAGAUGUUGCAUCUUUUUGAAUUCGGUGAUGAUAAGAACCAUGAGCUUGGCCAAGAUAAUGGAUGCUCGGACCAAAAUAUUGCUAAAAUAUGAAAACUAUGAGAGAAUAUUUGUUUGUGGGAAUUUUCUGUGUAUUCUUCUCCUUGUAGGAGGUCAUAUUUAUAAUACAAGGAAACCUGAAUGGGCAAGUAAAUAAUAAAUUCCUAAAUCUAUUUGCAGUAGGAAAUCAGGAAUUAAAGUAAAUCAAUUACAAUUAUAAUAGGAAUUCUUGGUUUCAAGAAGAUGUCGAUUCUUUCGUUCAGCAACACCAUUUUGUUGUGGUGUCUGAGGACAAGUCGUCUAAUGGAUAAUUCCAUGUUGUUGGAAGUAAGCCUGAAAGUCAUGAUUGACAAAUUCUCCACUAUUGUCUGAGCGAAGAAUCUGGAUUUGAGCAUUAAACUGAGUUUUCAUCUGUUUGUGGAAGGACUGAAAACAGGAAAACACUUUGUUUUUAUUCUUCAGCAAAUAAAGCCAUGUCAUCCGUGUACAAUCAUCGAUGAAUGUGACAAACCAUCGAACACCAGAAGGAGCAGUGAUAGGAGAAGGUCCCCAGACAUCAGAGUGAAUUAACAUAAAUGGAGUAGUCACUUGUUCGUACUCAAUGGGUAGGGCACACGGUGACUCUUGGCCAAAAUACAAGUAUCACAUGUGAAGUCAGAGUCCUUGAAACCUGAGAAUAAAUCUGGUAUAAGAUGCUUCAUAUAACUAAAAGAUGGAUGUCCCAAUCGACGGUGCCACAACCAGAUUUGCUUUUGUUUGCUAUCAAAUGGAUGUGUCACGCUGUUAGCCAUGCCGGGACUGAAGUCAUCGACAUAAUAUAGCCCCCUCUCUUAGUACCACGACCAAGAAUCUCCUUAGUGUGAAUAUCCUGAAGCAAACAAAAACUCUGGUAAAUGAGUACACAACAAUUCAUUUGUUCAGUAAGCUAACUAACUGACAACAAUUUAGUGGAUAAAGAUGGAACAAGCAAAGUAUUAGACAGUGUGAGAGAGGAUGAGAGUGCAACAGUGCCAGCCCCUGUCACAGGAUAAGUAACACCAUUGGCAUUUGCAAUACAGGUUCGUCGAGGUUGUGUAGUAUUCAAAAAAUCAUCAGGAUCAAACGUCAUAUGAUCAGUUGCACCAGAAUCAAUUAUCCAGCUCCUGGAAUCAAUCUUAUCGGAAGUAUGGAAUCCAUAACUAGUACCAUUACUUGUCAUAUUACAUUGUCCUUGAUCUAUAAGAGUAGCCUACCAAUUGGGGUAGCCAUGCGAUUUAAAACAAGUCUCACAAGUGUGUCUCGGGUCACCACAAUAUGCGUAAUCUGGUCCAUGUGUCGGGGUCGUUAGUCUAGAAGUCAUAAUCUGUGCAGCGGAAGAUGCAUAGGAUACAAGUUGAGUAGGAAUUGAGAUCGGAAUCUGAGCCUGAGUCGGGGCCGGAGUCGGAGUCAAAAUCGAGAUCAGGGUCUGAAUCAGAGACAAAUUCGAGGUUGGGGUCAUCAUCGGAGUGGGGGUUGGGGUCGUCUUCGAAGUCGGGGUCGGGGUCGUCGUCGUCAUAGUCGGGGUCGAGGUCGGGGUCAUCAAAAGAGGAUCCUGAUUCUGGAUCGGGUUCGGGGUCAAAGUCUGCAUCUGUAGGAGCGGAGCCAUCUGGGCACUCAACUCAACGAUGGUUGGUUGAGAAUGAGAGAAGGAGUCGGUGGUGCUACCUCCAUGAGGGUUGAAAAAAUCAUCACCAUAGCAGCGGCGGGGGUUUGAAACUAGAGUCAACAAUUCCAAGAUCGCCGCUCUGAUACCAUGCUAAAAUAUAAAAACUAUGAGAGAAUAUUUGUUUGUGGGAAUUUUCUGUGUAUUCUUCUCCUUGUAGGAGGUCAUAUUUAUAAUACAACGAAACCUGAAUAGGCAAGUAAAUAAUAAAUUCCUAAAUCUAUUUGCAGUAGGAAAUCAAGAAUUAAAGUAAAUCAAUUACAAUUAUAAUAGGAAUUCUUGGUGUGUAAGGAAAGUAAGUCAAUAUCCACAAGUCACGCCAACAAAUAUGACUGGUGAAGUUGAAAUUUUGCCUCAACACAAAGUGCCUCUUUCUCAAGGAAGUUGCUCUUUUGACAAUGCUAAUAGAAGGUUUACUUGGCAAGCACCAUCCAAGGUAUGUUUCCAUGUUCUUAGUAUUUUCAUAAUCUAUUGGUAUAUGAUUUGGUUGCCUGGUUACGGCGGCCACCGUUGGCAACUUUACCCUCCUCACUCACUCUCUUACGGAUGAACUACCUCGUUUUCAGGUCCUGCCUUGCCCUUUUCGAUAUCCAGUUUGGCGGCUUGGGAUAGUAUAGCUCCUCCUGACUUUGGAGUAAAUAUCAAACUAUCCCAAAUGAGUCUCUUCAAUGGUUGUGCACGUACCAAAAUAAGAUUUGCGAACAGCGCUGCGGUUCAUAUAAGCCAGCAUUUGUGCUAAUAGUUUGUUUUGGGCUGUUUUUGAAAGAAAAAAAGAGAGAGAGAGAGAGUUUUUCUAUUUGAAAUUUUGAACCCAGCAUUGGUCUUUUCAGUGUUCCAAAAUUGCCCAUAUAUGAUAUACCCACACCAAAUCCAACCCUUUCAAAUUGAAACCCAGGAAAACCUAACCCAGUCACCGCUCUCCUGCCGCACUGCCAUUGCAACAUGGGAUGAUAUGUUUUCCUUUGCUUAAUCUUAAUCCACAUGAGAGCAAAAUUCUUUUUUCUUUUUUCUUUCUGAUCUUGGGCAAUAUAUCCGGAUAUUAUUUGAACGCAAAAACCUAGCCACAUGUAUAGCCUUGACCUUGGGCAAUAUAUCUGGAUAUUUAUUGUCCUUUUUUUUUUUAAUCUGUUCCAUUGACCUCUUUGGGGAGCUGCACUGCAUGAAAGCCUUUUGCAUUGGAGUCAAAUAAACUUGGGAAUUAUACUCUCAAUCUCAACGCGAAAGCCAUGUAGAGGCAGUAUUAUCAAGGCAAAUCCAACGUGGAAUUACCGUAAUGUUAUAUUUAAAUAAAAAAACAUAUUUCUCCCAAUAUCUCGCUGCACUAUGCUGCAUUAAUUAAAAAUAAAAUAAAAGCUGUAUAGGUGAUAAAUAAAGAAAGGCCGUCGUUUAUACAAACAAGAGACGACCCCACAAAUAAAAAACUGACUUGUCUCCUUUCAUUUAUGUUGGAGUCUUUUUUCCUUAAAUAUUUCAUUUAUUGUUCUUCAGGCUAGAUGGAAUAAGAAAGAAAGGCAAAAGCUGGUUGAGCGCUUUAAAGAUAAAGAGGGCCAACUGCACUGCACUCUGAUCAGAUAGCUAGAUAAUAAUACUCUACUGUAGGUAGAUGAUAUUGCUUAGUGAAGGAUUAAACAUGUCAUUACAUUGGAAUACAACAAAUUAAGCAUCUCAAAAAAUAGAUGAUAAAUUUCUCAGAAGCAGAAUCCAUUCAUCAAUUCCUAGUUAUUUAGUUAUAGAAUUGAUCAUCUUGUAGUGCAGUGUAAACUCAUGGAUUAAACGACCACAACUGGAGCAGCAGAACCCAACAUUCAUUUUCGAGAUUGUUCAUCAUAACCUCAACGCCUCAACACCUUUAAUCGCUUGAAUGUAAUUUGCAAGCCUCCUUACACGAGGUGCCGGAGGCAUGUUAUGAACAAUGCAGUCUUCCACAACGGCAACCUGGACGUGUGGGGAGACCAGAUAAAAUAAAUUUCCAAACACAACCAUCAAAAGUAGGAAAAAUAACACACUAACCUCUGGGCAAAGAUAAAUGUUACAGCAUGUCAGUUUUUCAAGUUCCUGCAUCCCAAUUACAUUGUAAAAACAAAAGAACAAAUAUAGAAACGACAAGCAAAAAAAUGUAAAUGUGAUCUAGGACGCUUUUAUGCACCUGUACCGGGAGACUCAUGAGCAGUUUUUUUCCUGAAAACAUACUUAUCCUGCACACAGACACAUUACAAGAUAUUAAAAAAAAAAAACAUAUAACUAAGCUUUUGCAUAUGUCCAGCCUAACGAAGAGUUGUUGGGUCAUAAUUUUUGUAGGAUAGAGAGCAGAACACCAGAAAGUCCAUAUUCCUCAUUAUUGCCACAUUAGUUCUUGUAUCACCAUACCCUAACCAAUUCUAAACCUUUCUAAGGUGAAACAACAACUCUAAAUGCCAUGUUAUAGUACUCCUGAAAUUUAAAGAUGCUGCUUCAUAACUACAUAAGAAUGCUUAAAACGAAAUAAAAAAAUAGAAGGAAACUUAAGAAAUACCUACCCGCUUGAUAUCAAAUUUUUGGCAAAAUCCAUCGAAAACAUACCCAGUGUAGACGAGGUAGCAUGGCAUUCCAUUCAGUACUUUUACUGCCUGGAUCAAAAUGAUACUGAAAUCAGAAGUUUAAUAAAUAGAAGAAUUCUUUUUUCUUCUUUUUUUUUCCCUUAAACAGUUCAAUGAGAAUAGAAAACCUUGGAGGAUUCAAGCAAAAAGGAAAGCCAACGUAAGUUUUUAUAAUUUAAGUUAGAUAAAUUGAACAUAAGCUUUUCAUUGAGAUGUAAAUAUUCUAACAUAAAAUAACAUAUAUAAGCAAUUAGCAUUCAGCGUCCAAAUAUGAUUGGCAUGCCGUUGCCUUGAGGGAGAUGAAUUACAUUGAAGUAAUAACUUACUAACUUAGCAAAUCAAUUGAACUUGAAGAAUAGAUAGGUUACAGAUAAGAAACAAUAACAUAAGAUUUGACAUUUGUACCCGAAGUGGAGGAACUCCUGCUGACAAAAGUCGAAGAAGAUAUCUAGAGUCUGUUAAUGUGCAAAAUGGUAAACUGAUUUAGUAUGUAAUUGUUGGUUUAGUGUUAUACUUAGCUCAUAGGCUAAGCUGUCUAUAAUAGUCAAAACGGUUUGUUAAGUCUCAUAGGACUUGACUGGACAGGUGUCAUAAUCUUACCCAUAGUGUAGUUGGAUGGUUGAGAUUGAAGCUAGGAUUUGUCUAGCUCUCUCUCUCUCUUCUAACUGUAAUAUGAGCUGUGAGUGAUACAGCUCGAUAUACACAACAACAAAUAUACGAAAAAGUUUUUACAGAGCAUUAUUAUUCUCUUCACUCUCUUCUUCAAUAUUCUCAGUUUCCUCCAUUUUUAUCAGUAGCUUAUUAAACACUAACAUGGGAUCAGAGCCAGGUUGGGUCUGAAUUUCUAGGCGUUGUGACUGUGAGGUUGGGUUUGAAUCUCUGAGCAAAAGCUUGUUGUGUGAUUCUUGAGCUCAAAUCAGUACUCUAGACUAACAUGUCUGGAUCUGGAGGAGGAGAACUCAGGGCACCCAUUUUUAAUGGUGAAAAUUUUGAUUUCUGGCAAAUCAAAAUGAAAACCAUCUUCCGUUCGCACGAGCUGUGGGAUCUUGUGGAGAAUGGGUACAAAACUCCGACGAAGGAGGCGGAGGAGCUCACGGAGGCAGAGAGGAAGCUGAUGCGUGAGAACUUGGUGAAGGACGCUAGAGCUCUAGGUAUCAUCCAAGGGGCUGUAUCAGAUCAAAUUUUUCCACGAAUUGCAACUCAGGAAUCUGCAAAGGCUGCGUGGGAUAUUCUGAAAGAAGAAUUUGUGGAUGAUAAGCAGGUAAGAUCUGUGAAACUUCAAGGUCUUAGGCGUGAUUUUGAAUAUACUCGGAUGAGUGAUAAUGAAUCUUUGUCUGGAUAUAUUGCUAAGUUGUUUGAUCUGAUCAACCAAAUGAGGAGCUAUGGUGAGGAUCUGAGCAAUCAACGAAUUGUUCAGAAACUGCUUAUUAGUCUGCCUAAGUCCUAUGAUAGUAUUGCAAUUGUGAUAGAGAAUACAAAAGAUUUAGACACUAUUGAUGCUCAGGAUGUUGUUGCCAUUUUAAAAGGAUAUGAACAGAGGCUUGAUAGGCAUGGUGACAAUAGUGCAGAGAAGGCUUUUGCUAGCUUCAACGUUGGAUCAAAGGCAACACGGUCUAAUAGUCACACCAGUAAGUCUCAGAAGAAUGCCAAACCACAGGGGCAGCAAUGGGGCAACAAGGGUGAUGGAGGUAAUAAGUCUAAUUCCUCUGUGAAAAAUGAGACAGACAACACUGGAAAUAAAUGCAAAUUCUGUGAUAAAUUGCACUAUGGAGAGUGUUGGUUUAAGAACAAGGUCAAGUGUCACAAGUGUAACAAAAUUGGGCAUAUUGCAAAAUAUUGUCAUACAAACAAGGCUGUGCAGCAGGUGAACUGUGCUAAUCAGGUUGAAGAAACCGGAAACUUAUUCUUUGCUAAUCAUUCUGGAGAAGUAAAGAAGAUGAGUGAUGAAUGGUACAUAGAUAGUGGAUGUAGCAAUCAUAUGACAUCCAGGGAAGACUUGCUUGUAGACAUUGUCAGAGGAGUGAAAGCAAAGGUUCAAGUAGGCAAUGGAGUUUUAGUUGAAGUGGCAGGAAAAGGGACACUGAUCAUUGAAACAAUGAAGGGUAAGAGGUAUAUAAAGGAGGUUAUGCUUGUACCUAGUCUAGCUGAAAAUUUGCUAAGUGUAGGACAGAUAACAGAGCAUGGCUAUUUUCUUGUAUUUGGAAAUCACAAGGUUGACAUCUUCGAUGAUAGUUCCCUAAGUAACAUGGUGGUAAGUGUAAAGCAAAAGGGGAACAGGUGUUUUCCUUUAACUUUCAACACAAUCAAGGAGAUUGCCUUGAAAACAAAUGUGCAAGAAUGCUCCAAGAUAUGGCACAAGAGGUUUGGGCACUUAAACUUUCGAAGCCUCCAGCUGCUGCAGUGAUCCUAACCAUGGUUAUAAAAAAAAAACUUAAUAUGUGCAUAACUAAAAAUACUCAAUAUGAGCACAAAUUUAAAAGCAACAUUUAUUAUAACAUACCAAAUCCAAUGCACAUGAAAUGCCAUACUCUUUUAAAGCAGAUUUUAGCACUGGCCAAGCUUCUUGCAAAUCUUUUGCUGUGAAAAAACAACGCCAAGACUCAUAGGUAAGAAAGCUUUGUUCUUCUGCAAAAUUAUCAUAGUAAUAGUCAUAUUUAAGAAAACUCAUGAAUGGAAUAACUUAGAUGGAAAAUUAAACAGAAAAUAGGACACAAAGAUGAACGAGUUAAUUUCAUACACAACAACCUUGACAAUUUGAAAUAGUCUAAUCCCUUUUAUUUCAAUUUCAGAGACGAUUGUUUUACUUCAUCUGAGUGGCCCAAACACAGCAAGGAAGAAUUACAACACCCAAGUUUACCAUAAUUUUUAUUUUCAUCAGAUAUCUAUGAUCAGAAUGAAACAGAUUGGGUCAGCAGUCAGAACCCAAUAUGUAUAUAUAGGUGCAUGAGAGAGACAAUAUAUUAAAGUGAUCAAUGAUUUCUUCUAAUUAUUUGGCUCUUCUAGAGUCUUCUAUGUUGCUCACAUCCAACCCCCCACCCCAAGUAGCGGGCUGCUGCUGCUUCUUCUUCCGUGAGUUACUGCUGCCUCAGAUAAAUCUUAUUGCCCAGGUACCUACUCGGGAAUUUUUUUAUAUAAAAAGGAAAAAGAAAAAUAGUCUUGGUUUUUGUCUGAUUUAGGGUUGUAAAUUAGCAUAAUUUAAUCAGGGUUUUAGAUUUACUUUAAUUUAGCCAUUAAAACUAGGCUACGAAUUUCAUCCAUCAAUCUCAUAUAAUCAUUACUAGAACAAAAUAAGAAAACGAAAUGUUAUUUGCAGUAAAUUGAUGAGAAAGGCAACAAAAAGGAAGAAUAAGAAGAAGAGAGAGAUACCCGUGCAUAUAUUAAUGGGCAUACGGAGAACGCUCAAAUCAUAUGGGCAGUAAGACUUGGCCUUCAUGUUGUAGGCGAUUAUCUCCUCCAUGUUGACCUUGUUUGUCAUCGUAGCUAAUUGUUUGGAUACUUGUUCAAUCCCUAGCCUACGCACAGACAGAGAGAAUGUUUGGGUAGUUGUUGAAAGCCUAGGCACUGACAAGGCAGAGAGAGAGAAUGUUACCCUUGGCACAGACACAGAGAGAGAAUGAGUUUCUGUCAACGCCGUGAAAACUAAGAACGUGCUUUUUGGUGGGGUAUUUAUACGAGGGUGACGUGUCUAUCAUAUUUAUAUGGGAAAGGCUGAAUGCGAGAGAAAAGUAUUUGCUGGGGAAGUCCACAUAGGCCAAUGGGUUUUGAUGGGCUUUGGAUUUCGAAUAGGUCUGCGUAUUUGUAAAGCUAAUGGGUUUUGACGGUUGAGGUCGUUGCCUAGACUAUUGGCUUCUAUGAAAAAAGACCGUUUCACAGUUUAUUUCAAGCUAAUUGACCACCCCUCCCCCAAAAACCCAAAAAGACAACACAUUGUGUAAAGAGAACAUUUUAAUCAUUUUUCUAAAAAAAAUUUUAAAAAAAGAAGAAAAAAAUACCAACGACAUUCGGAGAAGCAAGAAUUGAACUUAGAGCCUCUAGUGUAACGGUAAAUACUCUUAGCACUCAAACUCCUUGCAAUGACAAUUGUUUUCAGCUAAGGCAAACGACCUUGGUUUAAAUUGGCGAAAAUUGCAAAGUACACCAUAUCAUUUCUACCCUACUAACAUGACAAAAAACAUCCAGGGCAUUUUUGAAUAUCCCACUCCGUUUGUGUUUGUGACCUCCCUUUCUAUGCUGGUAGGAGGCACAACUAUGAAAUCAAGGAAAGACCUGAGCUUCAGCAUUUGUAUUAAACAAAGAAAAAAAAUUGUGCAGGGAUUUCUUUAAGAAUGUUUAUUCUGCAUGCAGCAUGCUCUGCAUUGUAUUGGAUGAACCUAGCUGUAUACAUUGGAUUUAAGUUAUUGUCUGCCCAAGGGAAACUCGGCUGUAGUGAAUAAUAAUAUACCACACCCUAUGACUGUUAAGUAGUCGCAAGUCUGCUGCAUACACAUGCAAUUGACAUUUCAAACAGAGAGUGCAUCCACCACCUCAAUAUCUUGCAAUAUUAUCCUACUUUCCCAAACCCUUGAAGGUAAAAGGGACUGUGACAAUCUCGAAGAUGCAAAAACUUCUUGCAUGGUUACCCAAAGAAAACCAAGGAAAGAAAAUCAUUAGCAUCUUUCAUCUCCUAACCAAUUGUCCUUUUCCUUAGGGCCUGUUGGCCCUUCCUCUCCAUAGAGUUGAGUAGGAAACAAAUCAAAUAGGUUCUCCACUGAGAAUCGAACAAAGAAUGGAAGAUGAUCAAUCAACUUAUCUAGUUCCGAUCGAGAAUCAUACACAAUGGUAGGACCCCAGUCACUCAUAUACUGCAACCAACAUGGUUCCGAAAUAACACCAUCACCAAGGUACUCAGCUGCUACAAUUUGAUACUUGGUGCUCGAAUCAAUACAAAACUUGCUCCGAGCAGCAUCAUUCCUCACUCCAAUGUCAAACUUCGAUGACCCCUGAAGGUAGGUUCCAGGAUGGGGGUAGCUACUAUGACCAUAUUUUGAAGAAUAAACAAUUGGCUUAUUCCCUUCAAUGAACUCUAAGUCAGAAACAUCCACCCAUCUACCACCACUGUGCUCUGAGAAAUACGCUUGCCAGAGUUCUCCUGUGAAGUUGCUCACUCGUAGAGUGAAGUGUUCCCAGUCACCAACAUGUUGCCCUAUCUUGUUCAUUGCAAUACUUACUAAACCAAUCUUAAUGGUGGCUGGUCCGUUGAAAGGACAGAACACCCACAUAGCAAUAUCAGUAAAAGUUCCCCCUAGAGCCGGUUUUACAUGAACAUAUAGCUCCGCACUCUCUAUGUUUCCGCCCUUGAGAUGAUUUCUAGCAUCAUCGUCAUUUGGCAAAUCUAUCCAAAAAUCACUAUCGUUUUCCCCUCCACUAGGCAAAUUGGAGCCUCUGUAAUCAAUGGGUUCACCAUUCCCAGAGUCUUCGUGGUACAAAAGUGCCCCAUUUUUGAAAAACCAUUGCACUGAUGAUGGCAAAUAAACCUCAUCAGGAUGGAAGAAUACCGUGGGGCCAUAGUGCUCAAUGAGCGCAUGAAUCUGGUUCAGAUUUGGCAUUGCAUGUAGGGACGAAUCAAUAUUCUUCAAGCACGCAACUUCUAGUUCAUCAUCAGAAUCCAGGUAGGUACUGCAAAAGAAUGUACCAACUGAAACACCACUACACAACAUACCCCGUUUGCAGGGUCUUGUGUUCCACACCUGAAAUUGCUCCUCCGACAACUUUGAAUCCAUGGCAAGUACCCGAUCACGUGUUUCACAAGCCUCUGUAAGAUCUUCUCGUACACAUCUCACUUCUUCAGGUCUGGGCUCCUCGGAGUUGUCAGUGACCACAAAGCCCAUGGCCUUAUAACCCACAGGUGGGUUUGGCAACCAAAUAUAACCACACCCAUUUUUAUUUGAGUCCGCAUUCCAGACUAAUGAGUAGUUAACAGGCUUUCUCAAAGCUGGUAACUCUAAUACUGAGUCUUGGGUACAACCAUCUUCCAGACUUGUGGCAACCGUGUCACGAGCCACAAGAACAUACCCUCUCAAAGGCUGAUCAUUGGGCUGGCAGUAGUAACCGAGGCAAAAGAAGUCAUCAGGGAUCCCUGCAGGUCUGUAAAAUGUGACACCUUUUGAUUUUCCAUGCAACAGAUUACAGCUCCAGAUGCUCUCAAACUUGGUGAUCUGGAUAACUUCAAUUUCUCCUAGGCACAUUCUUCCAGUAGCAAAACCUCUGCCUGAAGAAAUGACAGUACACAUUUGUCAGAAAAUGGGCUCAUAAUGAUAAGUUAAUAUUUAUAAUGACGAAUACAGAUGCAGUGGGCCCUACAAGAGUGUCCCUCAAAUAAGCUUACUUGAAAUACAAAACGGAGUGGGCCCUGCAGGAGUGUCUCUCAAAUAAGCUUAUUUGAGGGAUCCCUCAAAUAGGGGGAGAGAGAGAGAGAGUUUUUCCUUCCCCUUUGGGCCAGAGUUCACACAACGCAUCAUUUUUUAAAGAAGGCUUUUUAUCGCAAAUGAUCCCUGAGGUUAAUGGUCCUUAAGGUUACUCUCUAUACAUCCCUCCCCCCUCCGCUCCCCUCCGUCUCCCCCUCUUCUCUCUCUCCCCCUCCGCCCUCUUUCUCUAUGUUCUCUCUCCAGAGCCGCAACACGACUCUCUCUCUCUCUCUCUCUCAAAAGAAAUAAUCAAGAAAAGAAGAUGGCAUCAAAUGCAAAAUUGGUCACGGGCAUUGAGUUGAGUGAGAGCAGAAGAAAGGGCUCUUACACUGCCAAUGGUUUCCCUACCCAAAAAAAAAUUCAAACUUUAAAUUUAAAACACUUGGGUAUGGGAUUUGGGUGUUGGGGUGGGGUGGGUUGUGGGUGGGGCUGGGGUUGAGGGGUGAUUUGGUUCGUGGAAGGGAGAGAGAGAUGGCUGCAAUUUUUAUUUUAUUUUAUAAAUUGAAGUUAUAAUCUCCUUUAUCUAAUUUCUUUUUUUAAUUUAUAGAUUUUAAUUUUUAUGGUAUAUUUUAUUCAUCAAAAUCCACUUGGCUUUAUAUAAUUGGAUGUGUGGGCUCCAUAUAUGUGCCAUGUCAGCACUUUAACAGAAAAUUUGACGGAAACUAAUGGUAGGGACCAAUUUGAUGUAGGGAGAGUAACCUUAAGGACCAUUAAUGUGACCCAAAAAAAAAACAUUAAUGAUGAAAAGUGAUAAUUUAGGAACCAUUUGCAAUAAAAAGCCUAUAAAGAACUUAAAAUUGAGCUUCUACAAUGAAGUUAAAGUUAGAGACAAACUUCAAACUUUUACAUGCGACUAAGGAAGAAUAUGGAAACUUUCAAAUUCCAAAAACUCCAACUUUCAAGGCAUUUCAGGAAUUUGUUGACCAUCAAGUUCGUUCAUUUCAUUGUUUUAUUUUUUUACUGGCAUGAAGGUGAAAAGCAUAUACACAGUGAAUCAGACUCAUUCAAAAUUUCAAUUGUUCUAAGAUGAGUUGUUUAUCUUCUUUCUGGGAUGUUUGAGUGGAUGGGGCAGGUUUUCCAAUAUGUGGAACUCAAGUUGCCACCGACCACGGCCGGUAGCUUCUGGGAAAUACCAAAAGCCCAUUAUUUACUCGAAACAAAGACAACAAACUAAGGACCACCAACUAAAGAAAAAAGAAAAAGAGAGAACAAGCAUAUGCAGAACAUAUUCUGAUAACCCCCACCAAAAAAAAAUAAAAAAAUAAACAGAAGAUGAAAGAAAUCAAGACAAAUACAAUCUUAGCAAAGCUCAUGAAGCCAUCUGAAUGCAAAUAAUUCUUCUUAAGAAAAUAGAAACCUUCAUUUCUUAAAAGAAUAAUAAAUAAAUAAGGAAACAAAUUGCAACAUAUAACUGUGUAAGUUGAGGAAAGAAAGGAACUUAGUGGCAUACCUUGAGGCCAGUGUGGGAGAGGUGAAGGCAGAGAGAAGGGCUCUGGCUCAGAGUAAUCAUACAACUCAUAGUCAAACUCACUGCUCCAACACCAAGAUUCACACCCAAACAUCUUAGCUAUAAAUAAGCUCUGCCAACUCUCACAAAUUCAACAACCCACAAAAGUAUUUGUCUUCAAGAUCAAUUAUGGUCCUCAGUCUCUCAAAUUCUUCUGCCCAUAUUUACUAACCAAACCCUCAAGGCUGAAGAAAAUUUAAAAGAGAAAGAAGGAAAGAAAGAAAGCUCUUCCCUCUCCCCCUCACUCAAUCAGCCAAUUUGUGCUUGAAACUUGAAUUAUUUGUGCAAGGGAAGAGAGCACAGAACCCGUGAGGAAAGAGAGAGAGACUUCAAAAGAGGUUGAGUGGAUAGAGAGGAAGCUGAGAGAGAAAGAGAAAGAAGAAAAAGGAAAAGAAGGGAAAGGACGUUGUUGAAUGCUUGUUUUUGUCUGCUUUGCGUACAAUUUUCUAUUUGGAAAUUGGAAGGUGGGCUUUGUUUCAAGCUUUCUUCAUUCAUUUCGGAAGCCAAAACGACCACCAAUAAUUGUCUCCCUCCAACUUGAUAAGGAAAACGGUGAACAGUCCUCUCUCAUGACUCAUCAUUCGCAACUCACUCUCCAUUUUGUCGAGGUUGUGACCACGCUCCAAGUUAUUUAAUUUUACCAAACCAAAAAAUGUAUUUCAUUUUAUUUUGGCUUCUUUAAGAGGUGUAUUUCUGUAAUUUACUGAAGAAAAAAAGAGAGCAUAAAGAUAGGAUAUUCUAAACAAAAUAGUUUGUUUUUCAAGUUAUCAUCAACCACCUUAACCACCUUAACUACCUUUUUUGUUGUUGUCAGAAUAUUAUUAACCACCAAGCUUAGAUGUUAAUAAUCUCAUGCUCCUAAAUCAAGUUGGGUUUCACAUUAUGAGUGUCAUAUGUUAAUUAUAGUUAACUAAAUAGAUUAACUGCAGCAUUAAAUUUAGGCGGCCAUAAAAUAUGACACUUGAGGAUAUUGUCAAUGGAUUUUUGGCGUGGAGUUGUGGCUGAACCCUCAAUCAAAAGUCUAAAGCCGCCUCACCUGACUUCGCUUAAAGAAAAUUAAUACAGAACGAACAGCCUCCUAUACAUACUAUGUCAUGGUCGGCCAAAAAUUAUUUACGAAAAAAAAUUAAAGAAAUCUAAAUAUUUAAUAAUCUUCCAAGGAAUAGUGACUAGAUUGAAUUUGUCACACUUUCACUUUGAUUCCACCAACAAAUAAUGAUAUUUUUUUUAUAAAGAAAUUUAAUAAGACAAAAUUGCUAAACUAAUUGUAGCAAUAGUCUUUGAAUUAUACUCAAUUUUCAUUACACCCGUCCGCCAAUUCGAUCUCCUAUUGCAUCAUUCGUCAUUUCCGUCAGAUAUGUCAAGUUUUUCAUUUAAAAUGAUUAUAUGGUAUGCAAAUUAGGGUAUAAUUAAAGGACUAUUGCUUAUAAUUAAGCCUUUAAAAACCAGAAAAGAAAAGAGGAAGACAAAACUGAUUAUAUUGGGCUGAACAAAAGCUUCUUCUACUUUGGGCUUAAAUUGCAACAAAAUUCUGACACAAGAUUUUUGGGCCAUUGGCCGCCAAUUGGAUCAAGACCUGAAACCCAACUUUAAACCCUUUUCAGUUCACUUCACCUUCAGCUUGCUCUGAGUUCUGGUUAAUCCUUUAGAAUUUUGGAAAGGGAACGACAAUAACAAUGGCUAGCUUCAGCUGGAACACUCCUUCUCCUUAGUCGCUGGUCCUUCACUUGUCUUCAUGGACACCAUUCUCGCCUUUCGUCCCCUUCCCAACUGUUUCGCCCCACUUCGAAAUCAUCCCUUCUCAAUUUUCACCACAAACCGCCGUAUCAGAAUCCAAACAUUCGCUUCCAAAUUCCCCAACAGCCCCCGAAAUCCAAUCCCAAUUCCGUACAAUCCCCGCUCCUUCAGCUUUCGAGAAGCUUCCAGAAGCUCGAAGGAAGAACAAAGGCCACUUCUUUCCGCCGAAUGCAUUGCGAGGCAGUUAGUGUUGGCGCUCUUCUGUUUCGCAAUCGGUUUUGCUCCGUUUCGGACGGCUCGUGCCAUCGCUGCUCCGGUGGUUUCAGAGGCUGUUUUGGAUAAGGAAGUAAAUUCAAAGGGUCAUGAGUAUUCAAAGUACACGAAGAGGUUGCUGGAGACGGUGUCUGUGUUGCUGAAGAGUAUAGAGGAGGUUAGAAGAGGAAAUGGGGAUGUGAAGCUCGUCGAGGCAGCAUGGAAGGCGGUGAGAGAAAAGAAAGAGGAGUUACAAGAGGAGAUAUUGGAUGGUCUCGAUGGGGAGCUAAGGGAGCUGAGGAGAGACAAACAGGUGCUGGUGAAGCGGUCUGAUGAUGUUUUCGCCGAGGUGGUGAAGGUGAAGAGGGAUUUGGAUAAGUUGGUGGGCAAUGUGGGUAAGGAGAAGGUGAAGGAGAGGGCGGAGGGGAUGUUGGGAAGAUUAGAGGAGGAGUAUAAUGAGGUUUGGGAGAGGGUUGGAGAGAUUGAGGAUCGGAUUUUGAGGAGCGAGACAUCAGCAAUGAGUUUCGGAGUGAGGGAGCUUUGUUUUAUUGAAAGGGAAUGCGAGCAAUUGGUUCAGAGUUUUACCCGCCAAAUGAGGAGGAAGGGGACUGAGAGGUAUUUAUUGCACGAUCAUAUGUGUGUUCAUGAUUUUGAAUAGGACUGAAAGUCAUAUAAAGAAUUCUUUAUUUUUGGUGAGAUAUGAUGUUGAAAGUGAUCAACUUUAUCCAAGUUACGUUGAUAUUUCACUUUAUAUACUGCUGCCAACAUACUUUCUGUAGACUCUGUUUACAUAAUGCCUUGCUAUAUAUGAAUAGUCAUUUACAGUUGGUGGUUUUGAUAAAUGAAUCACUACUUUAAUUUUUAUCAUUUUGCAAUGAUAUGAUGCUUGUUCUUCAACUUUGCAUGCAAUAUCUUUUUGGAAAAAGAAGAAGAAGAAAAUUUAGUAACCAAAAUUGUUGUGUGAGUAUAAAUUGUUAUGUGGUUGCAGUGUGCCAAAAGACCCGGUUACCAAGCUUUCUAAAUCUGAUAUACAGAAAGAUUUGGAAAAUGCGCAAAGGAAACAUUUGGAGCAAAUGAUUCUGCCAAAUGUUUUGGAAGUUGAUGAUCUGGGACCUCUCUUUUAUUCGACUGAUUUUGCUCAACGUAUAAAACAAGGUCUUCAAGAUUCAAGGGAGCUGCAGAAAAAGACUGAGGCUCAAAUAAGGAAAAAUAUGAAGAAGUUUGGCAGCGAAAGGCGUUUUCUUGUAAAAACACCAGAGGAUGAGGUAGUGAAGGGAUUUCCAGAAGUUGAGUUGAAGUGGAUGUUUGGAGAUAAGGAGGUUGUUGCUCCAAAAGCUGUUGGCCUCCAUUUGUACCAUGGGUGGAAGAAGUGGCGUGAAGAAGCUAAGGCAGACCUCAAAAGAAAUCUAUUAGAAAAUGUUGAUUUUGGUAAACAGUAUGUGGCCCAGAGACAGGUAACUUUUGCAUCCUUAUCUUUAGUGUCAAUCUUUGUUUUAAAUGGUUGUGAAAUAACAUAAAGGUUGAUUACUUUAGUAUGAAGUUAUAUGGAAUAGUUCGAUAGACCUGUUUUAUCUGCUAUUUAUCAAAUGUUGAUUGCAGGAACUUAUUCUUCUGGACCGAGAUAGGGUGGUGUCCAAGACGUGGCACAAUGAGGAAAAAAAUAGGUGGGAAAUGGAUCCAGUGGCUAUUCCUUUUGCCGUGUCAAAGAAACUGGUGGAGCAUGCCCGAAUUAGGCAUGAUUGGGCUGCCAUGUAUAUUGCACUCAAGGGUGAUGAUAAGGAAUAUUAUGUUGACAUUAAGGUAAGGCAUUUGCAUAGUUUGUUCAAUUUCUUGCUGUUUGUUAUUGUCAUUAUGUUUCUAAUCUUUAAAUUCUCAUUCAGGAAUAUGAAAUGCUAUUUGAAGAUUGUGGAGGGUUUGAUGGCCUGUACAUGAAAAUGAUUGCCUGUGGUAUUCCAACUGCUGUUCACCUGAUGUGGAUCCCUUUGUCUGAGUUGGAUUUCCAUCAACAGUUUCUCUUGACCCUAAGACUGUCUCAUCAAUGCUUUAAUGCAUUGUGGAAAACAAGAGUAGUAUCAUAUGCAAGAGAUUGGGCUCUUCAGAAAUUCAGAAAUAUAAAUGAUGACAUAAUGAUGACAAUAGUGUUUCCCAUUGUGGAGCUUAUACUCCCCUACUCUGUAUGUUCAUAGCUCACCAGUUCAGAUGCUUAGUUUUACUAAGGUGAUUAUUAUUGUUGUUUUAAGUUCUAUCCCUGUUUCUUAUUACAGGUAAGGAUACAGUUGGGGAUGGCAUGGCCUGAAGAAAUUGAUCAAGCCGUUGCCUCAACAUGGUACUUGAAAUGGCAAUCUGAGGCAGAAAUGAAUUAUAAAUCUAGAAGAACGGAUGACAUCCAAUGGUAUUUUUGGUUUCUCAUUAGAAGUGUAAUAUACGGAUAUGUUUGUUUUCAUCUCUUCCGUUUUAUGAAGAGAAAAAUUCCCAGACUUCUUGGUUAUGGGCCAUUACGCAUAGAUCCAAACAUGCAGAAGUUGAAGAAAGUGGUAUUGCCUUCUUCCCUUUUCUGUUGACAACUUUAUAUUUGAAGCUGAUGACAAUCAAACUGUUGCUUAUGCUUUGGAGCAUUGUACUAUUCUUUCUUGACAUUUCCAUUGUUAUCUUACUUUGCUUUUUUUGAGGUUAAGCUAUAUAUAUUUCUUAUGGCUAGAACUCUAGCAAUUUUAAUGAUCGUACUGACUUGCAAUGCUGUAUUGUAAUUACUCUGUGAACUUGAGUGUUCUAUAAUAUUUCAAUGAGUUGAAUGUAUUUUUCAUGUCGAAUUUAUAUGUGCGGACAUGGUAUUAAAUGGUCUAGCAAAUUUGUUAAAAUAAUUUUAGUAUCAGAUUCUUUUGAGGCUGUGAGUAGUUUCUAUAUAUCCUCUGUUUUCAUUUUAGAUUGUGAAAGAAGAUGGGAUACUGGAACUUAGGUGGCCAUUGAAAAUCGAUACAAAUUUUUUUUUUUUAAACAGCCUUUUUGGUCUCUUAUUACUUAGCAUGGAAGUGAUAUGCAUAUCUAGAUCUUUUGCCAUAUUGUUUAGCUGCAUGAGUUUGCAUCUUUUAAUUGAUCCUCUCUUUUGCUCAUCUCUCGCAGAAAUUCUAUCUUAAUUAUCGGGUGAGGAAAAUUAAAGGCAACAAAAAGGCUGGUGUUGAUCCCAUAACACGGGCUUUCGACCAAAUGAAGGUUCAUAUUGGAACUUAAAAUUCUUCUGUACUUUGUAACUAGAUGAAUUUUGUGAAAUUAAAUUGUGAGAUCAAUGGCUGGUUGCAGAGGGUGAAGAAUCCACCAAUACCAUUGAAGGACUUUGCCAGUAUUGAAUCUAUGAAAGAGGAAAUCAACGAAGUUGUGGCAUUUCUGAAAAAUCCUGGUGCAUUUCAAGAAAUGGGGGCCCGUGCACCUCGGGUAUGUUAUUGCCAAUAUAAUUUUAGAUAUUUCCGGUAUAAACUAUAGGGUAUCCGUACGUAAUUUACUUUCAUAAACUAUUAUAGGUAAUUUGCUUUUCAAACUUCGUUUGAGAAUUUUUCAGCAUGAAAGUUAUGCUGCAUGCAAAAUACAUGAUAUUCGAAUGUUAGCUUGUGCUAUGAGCAUAUAUUGAUCUUUGUUCAAUUAGUCAGUAUAGGAUCCAUCUCAAGUACAUACGUUAGACUUCUUCUAGUUGCUGCUGUGGAUACUAAUUUAAUGGGUUGAUCAGCUUCUGAAAUCGUUUAUUCUUUAUAUUGCAGGGAGUUCUGAUUGUAGGUGAGAGGGGAACAGGAAAGACAUCUCUAGCACUGGCUAUAGCUGCUCAAGCUAAGGUUCCUGUUGUUAACAUUAAAGCUCAAGAGUUGGAGGCUGGACUGUGGGUUGGGCAAAGUGCAUCAAAUGUCAGGGAGCUGUUUCAAACUGCGAGAGAAUUGGUAGCUAGCUAUCUAUCUUGCUGAGUUACUUUAUGUGAAUUAUGAAAGAAAUAAUUUCCUUUACCUUUCUAUGUCUGUAUCUUUUGCUGAGCCAGUUUAUGUCAUUUCUAGGCACCUGUAAUCAUAUUUGUGGAGGAUUUUGACCUCUUUGCUGGUGUCCGUGGAAAAUUUAUUCACACUAAAAAUCAAGAUCACGAAGCUUUUAUUAAUCAACUGCUUGUGGAACUUGACGGGUAACCCUCAGCUCUUCUUUUGUUUAUUGGACUAACAAUCCUUGAAUAAGAUUCUUUUAUGGGCCUUUCUUUGGCCAUAUAUGAUUGUUGAGGUAAUGGGUAUUUUGUGUAGAGCUGAGUAUCCUUUUUGUAUGUAUAGAUAUACACUUGAUGUCAUUUUAGCUAAUAGUAACUGAAUAACGUAUCAGAGGUGUUGUUACUUUCCAUCUCCUUUGUCUGUCUAUGUUAGUAGUGGUGUUAGAAAUGAUCUGCAAUGUAUUCUACCCUUGAUGCAGGUUUGAGAAACAAGAUGGGGUUGUAUUGAUGGCUACUACUGGAAAUCUCAAGCAAAUUGAUGAGGCCUUACAGCGGCCUGGCCGCAUGGAUAGAGUAUUUCAUCUUCAAAGGCCAACUCAAGCAGAAAGAGAGAAGAUAUUACAUAUUGCUGCAAAAGAAACAAUGGAUAAUGAACUCAUUGAUUUUGUAGACUGGAGAAAGGUAAUAGCUGAAUCAGUUUCUGAUACUAUUUGUUUUCACACUAAAGCUGUUUUGAGGUUGAUGAGUUUCUUGUGUGGGAUUGUAACCUGGCGGUACACAAAUGCGUGUGGAUGGUUUCUAUUGCUCUCUGUUUUCUUACUGAGUUGUGAUGCCUUAUAUGUCCUCAAUAUGAGCAUUUGAGCUGUUGACAUCAUUGCUUAAAUCUUUUAGUCCCUUACUUACCCAGAUGAUUUUCAUUUUUGGGUUUUCUUGUUGCUUGUAGGAGUUGACAAGUUCUGUAAUUAUUUUCUGAAAUAUACUCCAUUCUCUACUUUUUCUAUCCAUAAGCUAUAUUACUCCAUCAUGCUAUAACAUGUAUACCUUCAUUAUAUGUCAUUAUAUUUAUUCUUAAAAGCUUUUCUAGAAAUUUGUACUUCACAUGUCAACAUUCUCCGCCUUCAGGUUGCUGAAAAGACAGCUCUUUUACGACCUAUAGAAUUAAAGCUGGUGCCUGCGUCCUUGGAAGGUGGUGCUUUUAGGAGCAAGUUUCUUGAUACAGAUGAACUUAUGAGCUACUGUAGUUGGUUUGUGGUAAGAAACAAUUGAUACAGUUGUCUCAUUGUCUUUGAAAGAAUCCAUUUCAUUUUUGUAUCCAUUUUGAGUGUGUCCUUAUUGCUUUUGCAGACUUUCAGCACUGUCAUUCCUGAAGGGAUGCGGAAAACCAAAAUCGUGAAGAAGCUAAGUAAAAUGCUGGUGAAUCAUCUAGGGCUAACGUUGACUAAAGAAGAUCUGCAGAGUGUGGUUGAUCUGAUGGAGCCAUAUGGUCAGAUAACCAAUGGAAUAGAACUUCUAAACCCUCCUCUUGAGGUAACUAGUUAUUACUGCAAGUGUUCUAUUAAUUAGUUCAAGAUACUUUCUUUUCAUCAAUUAGCUGUGAAUAGCUUGAGGACAUACUACUGUACUUUUCUUUCUUAAAACUUUUCACUGCUUUAAAUAAUUUCUUCUACUCGAUUGUCAUGGCACAGAGAAAGAAAUUAGAUGUUUGAAUUUGAAUAUACUAACAGUUUGUGGGCUGAAGUGGUUAUAUUACUUAGUUAACUUUGGCGGUUCCUUCCCUGACUUCCUUUGUUUAAUUGUUGCAACUUUGUAGUUAUCCUAGGUCAGGUUGUGCUUUGUAAAUCGAAAGUAGUAAGAAUAAUCUUGGAUUCAAGUCCUAAUGAUGUAUUUGUACAUCAAGAGUUUUCUAGUUUUCAUUGGGAAAAAAAAUUGUGAUUUCUAUUCAUUGUUUAUCUUUAUUAUUGUUAAACUUAAAAUACAUGUAAGUUUUCAGUUUUAUUUACUUCAGAAUUUUACAUGCGUACAAUCAUGAUGGAACCGUAGUUUCCUUUUGUUUCAAGAGUGAUUUAAUAUAAGUUCAUUAAUUCUCCAGUGGACAAUGGAUACCAAGUUCCCACAUGCUGUUUGGGCUGCAGGUCGAGGUCUCAUUGCCCUUCUAUUGCCAAACUUUGAUGUUGUAGAUAAUAUAUGGCUGGAGCCAUUGUCUUGGCAGGUUUGUCCUCUAUGUCAUUAUGUAUUUAGAUCUCUAAAGGUUAAAAACUAUAAAACGUGUUCGAUUUAUAAGUUUUGUGGGCAGAUAAUGUUUUGUGGGCAGAUAAUGUUGACAAUAAUUAUUUAUGAAACAUAACCUGGGAAAACACUGGAGAAGUUUAAGCCUCUUUUUACAGGGAAUCGGAUGUACAAAAAUAACCAAGGUGAGAAAUGAAGGAUCCGUGAAUGCGAAUUCUGAAUCAAGAUCUUAUCUUGAAAAGAAGCUUGUAUUUUGUUUCGGUUCACAUGUUGCAGCACAAAUGCUACUACCUUUUGGGGAAGAGAACUUUCUUUCUUCUUCAGAGUUAACGCAGUCACAGGAGGUUGAUUCUUUUCUAUGCUUGAUCUUUAUCUAUAAGAAGCAAAAAAUAUCCUGAGGAUAUGCAAUCAUAACUGCUUUUCUGUUUUCCCCCUCCCAUUUUUGCAACAGAUUGCUACACGGAUGGUCAUUCAGUAUGGUUGGGGGCCUGAUGAUAGUCCUGCAAUUUAUUAUCACACUAAUGCGGUAUUCUUCUGUCUUUACAUUCAAAAUUUGGUCAUGUGAUAAAGAAAUAGAUAUUUCUCAUGUGUCGUCCAGUACUGUGUACAUUAUUUCUUAUCCUUUUAUGAUAAUGGAGGGCUACCAUCCUGCAUAGGUAUGUUUGUUAGUUCUGAACUUCGGAAAUUGUUUUUGCUGUCAGAGCUAGCUCUGCUGCUGUUCUACUCUUCUGCCUUGUGCAGUUUGGUUGAUAAAUCUUGUUUAUUCAUCUAAAAAUGUAUUUCUUUUAGCUUGCAUUUCUUAUAAAAGAACUGUUUUUUUCAUUUAAAAUACAUUCAAUUGUAAUACUUGGGGAAGUUAUUGGUUAUGGACGUGGGACAGUUCCUUGCCAAUCUUGUUAGAAUGAGGUAGCAAGCAGCAAUGUUUUCUUUGCACUUCCAAAUAUGUAUCAAAUUUCACCCCUAGUUGUUUCUAUCUGGUUUAAGGGUUCAAUAGGCUUCUUGUUUAGUGAUAGAUUGCACGUUCUCAUUGGCACAGGCUACUGCUUUAAGCAUGGGGAAUAACCAUGAGUAUGACGUGGCAGCUAAAGUUGAAAAGGUAUGAAGGACUAUUACUCUUAUUUCUUACUAAUCAAUUAGUGAAAUAUUGGUUGAUGCAGCUUAUCUAAUAGUGUCUUCAUAUCCCACAGAUAUAUGAUUUAGCAUAUUAUAAAGCGCAAGAAAUGCUCCACAAAAAUCGUCGAGUUCUUGAAAAGAUAGUUGAGGAGUUACUGGAAUUUGAAAUCUUGACUGCAAAGGUAAAAAAAUCUUGAUUUUGAAUUGGCACAUCUCUUAUUUUGACUGGUACCUUUACACGUCCUCUUUUAUCCAAUAACUUUAAUCUCCAUCUAUCCAUGUUGAUUGACUUAGUUGUCUGAUAUCGGCAAACUACAAACGACAUUUAUUUAUUAUUUAAUAUUGAGAUCCACUCUUCUUGGUGUUGGCAGGAUUUGCAAAGAAUUUUUGAAGACAAUGGUGGUGUUCGGGAAAAAGAGCCCUUUUUUCUUUCUGGAUCUCAUGAUAGAGAGGUAUUUUUAUCUGUCAGUACUGAGUGAACUAUAUGCUGUUAUUGGUGCCAAAAUUUGAAUUUCCUUUUUGCUUAUUGUAUGAAGUUUUAUCUGUCAAUUUUGUAGUUAGAAGUAGCCCUACUAUCAUUAAUUAGAAGAAGAAAGUAUUUCUACAAAACUACCUCUGAGCAAUAAAUUCAUUUCAUCUGUAACCUAUACACUUCUCAUUAUAUACUUAUGAACUGGGUAUCUCUCUCUCUCUCUCUCUCAUUUUUUUCCCUUAUCUUCCUUUUUUCCAGCUACAAUCCGGCAGCUUUCUUGAAGGUGGGAAUGUAUCAGGAACUGCUCUUUUAAGUGGAGCAGCAUAGAUUUCCGAGGAAUAGACAGUUGUAGAACCAAUACAAAUUUUUUGGCUCUGAGGUAAAAGCCCUCCUAUUCACAAUGAGAUUCAAUGUUUGUUUGUAGUGCAAUAUGGUCUUCCUUGUCCUCAUGUCACAUGGUUUUUGUUUUUUAGUUUUUUGGCAUAAGAGAUGUAAGCCAGUUAUAGAGGAAAUAGUUGUGGCUUGAGAAGAGGCAACAUUUUUCCUUCUCAACCACCAUUUUUCAUUAUACUGUGAUUGGAAAUCCUCAUUGUAUUUCCUUUUGUCAACGUUGUAAUUAAAAUUGUUAAUAGAAUGAUUCAUUUUGAAAGCAUUCCUUCUGUUUACUACCAGUGUUCGAAAAAUUGGCCUAGGCGGCCGCCCAUAUACUAAAACAUAACCUAAUUGUGUUUUUAUUUCAACCCUCUGCUUUAUAUCAAGUCAUAUAUCUUAUGACACACAUAUACAUUUUAAAAAAAUUAAUUUUGUUAAAAAUUAAUAAUACAAAAUAUUUUUUAUUUUAUUUUAAGAAACCCUAGGCACUAGGCACUAGGCCCCUGCCUGCCCGCCUACUGGCUAGCGAUUUUUCGAACAUUGUUUACUACUAUUACCUUGAUAGUAUUUGUGUACUAUUUUAGCCUAAAUGCCUAUAGUACAAUAUAUUCGUAGAAAAGAGAACAUUUCUUGGCGGGGUAAAAAGAAUUUUCAAUUUAAAUUAAUGUAAGUUUUUUUUUAAUGAACAUUCAAUGGCAUAUCCUGCUAUGAAUGCGUGGUAUAAAUUUAAGUACAAAGAAAAGAGAAAAUGCAUUUACAUGAAGAAAAUGAUACUUGUAGAAAAAACCAGGAGAACAAAUUCCUACAGAAGCCCCAUGACCGGUGAGGUGCUAAAGAUAGGCUUCUCUUUGCCAGUUUUCUGGCCCCUGCUCUCACAAAUGCUUUUCCUCCUUGGUUUUGCCUCUCCAAGCAUUGUUAUGAUAUCUCUCAUGGAUGGCCUGUCUUUGGGGAGCUUUGCAGUACAAAGAAGUGCGAUUCGGAGGACGAGAAGCAUUUCUUCCUGGACAUGCUUGCAUUGACCAGCUAUGCUAGCAUCCAGUGCUUCUUCCAAGGCUUUCUUGUUUCUCAUCUUCCUUCGAACCCAUUCCACGAUAUCCACAGCUUCCCCGAAUGUAGGGUCUAAAGGCAUCUUUCCAGUUAUAAGCUCUAAAAGAACUACACCAUAGCUAUAGAUGUCAGUCUUCUCAUCAACCUUUAAGGCGUAUCCAUAUUCUGCCACAUAACAAUAGAAGUUAGAAUUAAUAGGGCUAACUAGUUUCGAUAGUAUGGUUUCUGUUUGAGUAAUUAAAAAAGGUUCUUGGUAACUAACUUACCAGGAGCAAUAUAUCCGUAAGACCCAGCCACCAUUGAAACCGUCUCAUUCUUGUGCAUCAUCAUCCUCGCUAACCCGAAAUCUGCUACUCUGGCGUCAAGGUUUGUAUCCAACAGAAUGUUGUUCGAUUUGAUAUCUCGGUGGACGACUGGUGGCUGACAGUCAUGGUGGAGAUAAUUCAAACCUUGUGCAACACCCACUGCUAUAUUGUAUCUUGAAACCCAGUCUACCAACAACUUUCCUGCUUGUUUUCCAUGCAAUGCAGUCCCAAGGUUCCCAUUUGGCAUGAAAUCAUAUAUCAUCACCACAUCGGUUUCGUUGUGAAGGUACCCUAGUAACCGUACGAUGUUCCUGUGCCGGAGCCUGCCCAAGAGAUUCACUUCACCAAAUAGAUCAUCCCCAUUUUCAAUGUCUGUCCCUGGCCUCCAUAGCUUCUUAACUGCCACAACUGAAUGUGGCCGAUGGAUUUCAGCCUUAUAAACCACCCCACUCCCGCCCAUGCCAAUGAUAUUUGAUUCUUGUAUGCAAGCAAGAAUGUCAGCACUUGUGAAGUUAAUUCUCUGAAAUGCUACUAGCCUCCAAGGCCAUUCUUGAUUGGUAGUCUUAAACCAGUUGUUAAAGCUGUUAUACGAGUACCACUUCCUAUAUACCCAUCUCCCAGCGAAAAAUGCAACGCCAAGACAUGAAAUUACUGAGAUUCCAAUGAUGAAUCCAGUGAUGAUGUGCUUGAUGUGCAUGUUUCGAUGCGGACCUGCUGUUGCAGCUAAGCUUUGAGGGCAUGGUGGAAGUAUGCCUCCACAAAGACCAGCAUUGCCUAUGAGAUCGUUAGGAUUGAUGGUCAUUAACAUACCAUAUGCUGGUACUGGACCCUCAAGUCUGUUGUAAGACAAGUUAAGCAUCUCCAAGGCUGGUGAACUUCCAAAGCUUUCAGGGAUUUUACCAACCAAAGAAUUGUUGGACAGAUCAAGAAUGGAUAAUGUACGCAUUGUUGCUAUCGGUCUAGGGAUUUCCCCAUUGAACUGGUUAUUUCUAAGGUUCAGAUUUACCAGCUUCUCACAAGAAGCUAUGCUCUCUGGAAUUUUUCCAGAGAUGUGGUUGUUUGAAAUAUCGAGCACUGACAGCGACGGGCAAUCUUGGAACUGGUCUGGGAGUUUGCCUUCCAACUUGUUAUUGGAAGCCAUGAAAGUUUGAAGAUUUGGAAGGGAAAGAAUGCUAGAAGGAAGAGAUGAUUCAAGGUGGUUCCAAGAGACAUCAAUGAAGGAAAGAGAUGCAGACAAAGCAAUGUCCACAGGAAUUUGACCAGUAAGAUUGUUUUUAGCCAAUUCUAGCCUUUGAAGAAUAGGAAGAUUUCCCAGACCAACUGGCAUGGUUCCUGAAAUAAGAUUGUUUUGCAUACGAACACGAACCAGUGAUAAACAAGUUGAAAGACCUACUGGAAUUGGACCAGAAAAGGAAUUGUUGAAGAGGAUGAGUUUUGUGAGAUUGCCAGAACUACACAAACCUGGUGGGAUAUCACCUGAUAAUGAAUUUGAUGACACAUCUAACCACUGCAAUGGGGAAUUCUUUCCAAGGUUCACUGGCAAAGGACCUGUCAAAGAAUUCUUCCAUAGCUCAAGUACCUCUAAGUUGGGUAACUCGCCAAGCUUGUUAGGAACUGAACCAGUUAGUCUAUUGCACAUUAAGUUCAAAAGCUGCAAAUUCAUCAACUGUGCAAGCUCUGCUGGAAUCUCUCCUGAAAUCUGAUUAUCAGAGAGAUCCAAAAACACCAGUGAUGUAAUGUUACCAAAGUCUGGUGGAAUUUUUCCUGUAAAAUUGUUUUUGUACAAAUAAACUGUUGUAAGUUUUUGUAGCCUACCCAAUUCAGGUGGGAUUUGACCACUGAGAUUGCCAACUGCCAAGUCAAGAUACUGAAGAUUGGUAAGAUUGCCAAACUCUGCUGGGAUUUCACCUUCAAACGCAUUGUAUCCAAGAACAAUAGUCUCUAAAGAGGAAAGCUGGCCAAGUUCUCUUGGAAGGUUUCCAGUGAGAUUGUUGCCAGAGAGGCCAAGAAACUUUAGCUUCUGCAGCUUCUUGUAAGAUGCAGGGAUUGAACCUUCGAAGAAGCUCCCUCUGAAAUCUAGGCUUUCAAGGGACGUGGCAUCUCCAAGAUCCUCUGGGAGAAAGCCUGAGAAGUUAUUGCUUGAUGCAUUAACUGAAGUCAGUCCUGAAGCCCUUCCAAGACCAGUUGGAAAAUCACCAACAAAGUAGUUUUGACUCACAUCAAUGGUAUUCAGUGAGGUAAGACCAGAUAGCGAUUUUGGCAACGAUGAUGCAAAACCAUUACAAGAAAUGUUGAGAGUAGAAAGACUGUGUAAGCCUUGAAUGUGAUCGGAUACAUGGCCGCUGAGGUUCAUGUUGGAGAUGUCCAGCUUCUCUAUAAAGCCUCUGGAGUUGCACAUAACUCCAGUCCAGUUACAAUGGGGUGAACCUUCCUGAACCACAUUGCUUGGAAUUUUCCAAUCUUUGAGGCCAUCCAUUGGAUCAAGAAGACUAGCUUUGAUUGAUAGUAAGGUGGAUAAUUCCUCAUUCGGCACGGUUUGAGCUCCCUGAGCCUGAGCAAAAACAAGAGAGAGGCCAGUGAAACAGUAGAAGAACAUCAAAAGGGUUGACAUGUUUGUUGUUCUUCUACCUGGUAUGUUCCUAUCCUAGCUCUUAACAGAAUGGUGGCAUUUUCUGGGCUUUUGGAACAAAGGGAGGAAGAAAGUGUCAAAGACACAAGAGAAGAGAGAGAGAGAGAGAUUGAGAGAUUGAUUAAAUGGGUUCAGUUUUGAUAAGUAAUAAUGACAGAUUGGGAUUAAGUUAUUGUGAAUACGUGGGUUCUUGGGAUCAGUGGGUAGCAGCUAAUCUAAUUAUAUGAAUCCUAAUGACUGUCAAGGUUUGGAGUUAUUGGAAAUCUCUGAGACAGCAAAACAUGGAGAGAAUGUGUUUCCAGGGACUGAUGAUAAAUACUUGCAUAUUCUUAUAAUUGAUCAUAGUCAACUCAGACUGGUAUUAACUAAUAAUGGUACUUGGUUUCCUCCUUUUUUCUUGUAAUUUAUUUUGAAAAACUGUACUUUCAUCUUCUGUUUAAUGUCCCAAGAGAAUUAGCUCCUCAGCAGCUUAUUAAUUACUUGGGAAAACACUGACAUGCAUAUGCUUUUGUAGUUAUUUUAAUAAAAUAACUCCCAUUUCUGGUUUGUCAAGGCUGGUUGUGCAUUUAACUUAUAAGCAGUGAAUCAAUCAAGGAUUGAAUUAAUAUGCUUUUUGGGUACUGGUCCUGGACAUGGUUAAUUUGGGCAGAUGAGAAUCUCUCCAGGUUAUAACUUAUAAGAUGUGGAAAAACAGUACAUGAUAGACAACUUGGAACUUUCUCUCAGAGAGAGAGAGAGAGAGAGAGAGAGAGAGAGAGAGAGAGAGAGGAGAUAGAUGGUGGGUCUCCAUGAAAAAGGAAAGAAAUGUUUUCUUACAAUUCAUUUUCCUAACUAGGUCACCAAAUACCAGUCCCUCCCAUAAAACAAUGUCUGAAGCCUCCACAACUUCACAUGCACUGAUCUGGCUCUUUUGCAAUAAUUUAUAUAUGAAUCAAAAAAUAAUGCAAUGUAAAUGUACAGAUAAACAAAUGAAUAUUUGCAAAUGCGUUUAAAUGGAAAAUUAUUAGACAAUAAUUGAAUUGAAAGCAUAAAAAAGAUGGAAAAGCCAGGAGGGAGGCCAUGUGAAAAGGGCAGCUUCCUUGGGAAAGGACUGAAAAUUCUUAUUAUUAUUUGCAAUGCCAUGGGAAUUAGGACAAACUGCCACUAAACAAAUAUGUAUAUGGGCCUUUUACUUUCCAAAAAUAUGUAGAUAAUGGAUGGAUAUGGAUCUUUUGUUGUGUAUCCAUUUCAGAAUCAAUGAGGGGGUGCAUGAUUAGUUAGGUGCCCCCACAUGCCUACCCCAAAAAACAAAGCCAGUGAAGGCCGCCACCACCACCACCAUUAAUCAUUCAUCCAUUCAUUGAUUUUAUCAAAUCCAUUACACACACAAAAUAUCAAAGAUGGAAUCAAUCAAAUUCAUUUGUGGGCACCAUAUGACAAAAUAAUUUUUUUUUAAUACAAAUAAUAGUCUAACUUAUUCUAAAAUAAGCUAAUAUAAAAAGAGGAAGAUUCAAACUUAAAUGCAAAGAGGUAGGCUCACUGUCCUGAUGAACUAGCCUAAUCGGUUUUUUAUGAUUGAGGAGUUUGGGCCAAGUGGGUGUUGGAGCCUGCUUCUCUUGGGUUUGAGCUUGUAAAGGUCCAGGAAAAAUCAGGUACUGUGUGGACAGACCUAACAGACUUCUACUAUGGUAGUGGGCCAGGGUAAAGUUCACGAAGCCCAUUAUGGGAAUUAGAGUCCGUACUAUGUGGACCGACCCAACUGCACUCUCUCUCUCUCUCUCUCUCUCUCUCUCUCUCUCUCUCUCUCUCUAGACGUGAAAGUGAGCUAACCUAAGCAGACUACUUCAGCACCGAUGGACUUCGUUUAGGUGAAAAACAACACGUGGUUUAUCUACCACUCGAACCAUUUUGUCCCGUAUAUCUUGACCAAAAACACAAAAGUAAAGGGUUUGAAAUCAAAAUCCUCCCGAGUAAUUAAUUUAUGUGCUUUCUUUUGGCAGUUAGUUGAAACCUGUUGGGUGAUAACCAUGAAUACAGAGAGCCUUGAUGAGGAGGAGGAGAUGUUGGAAGUAUAAGAUUGUCCUCAUUUGCAUGCAAUCCUUAAUGUGCUUUUCGCAAACAAGAUUAUCAAAUUAUUAGUUGCUUAGUUUGAAUUAUACGUAUUAAAUUCCAUAAUCAUCCCCAAUCCUUGGAACUGAGUCCCCAAAGAAAGGAAGAUAUCAAAACUAGAAACAACCUUGUAAACCAACCGUAUCUUGUCUACACUAUAUUGUGAGUAUAUAUAUUAAGCGCCACAGAUGAGUUCACAUUUUAUGGAGUAUAUAAUAUCAGACUUGUAAUUCAAUUGAAUUGAAUGUAACCAAUUAAUGCAGCAAAGUUGAAAUUUUAUUUAUUUAUUUUUAAUAUAAGUGAUAUUUUAUUUUAAUCUAAUCGGACUCGUUUGGGAGUGGAGGGGGAUUCAAACUCGGGUAUGCCGAAAAUUAUUAUUUAUAUAUAGCAUUAAUCUAACCUGGGUUUUAUAGAAGCAAGCAAAUCAUUCAAAAUACGAAUCGAUGACCACUAGUAAAAGAAAAAAGAAAUUAUUACACUGGAAAAGCUAACAACAAAUUACAACUCAAAGUUAUUAAUACGGUCUAAUUCAUAGUUCCACUAAAUGAAAUUAAUAACAAGAUAUAAAGUCGGAGUUUCGAUCCCCAUAUGGGGGGAGGGAAGAACAGCACAGCAGAAGAAAGAAACAAUUAAGAAGCGAACAAGUAAAGUAAAAGUAAACAUGAGCCAAGAACCAGACUUGCCGGGUUACAUCUUUUUCUUCAACCCCUUUUGCUUUGGUUGCCUCCUUGUAUUUAUUGCUAAUUGAGAGCAGUAGAACUCAUCUGAAAGCCGUACGUCUAACCAUUCUUAAUUCCAUUUCCAUGGAAGCUGAUGAUGAAGAUCAGCCUCUCUGGACAUGCAUGGCUCUUCCACAGCCACGGCUUCUGUUGAAUUCUUGUGCUCAUCGAUCUCUCUAAGUGGCAUGAUCAUGAUCUUCUUCCUGUGCUUUUGCUUCAACAAACCAAAAUUUAAAUUAUUGCUACUUUCUAUUUCUUGUGGACUUGUUGGUAUAUAUACAGAAUACAUAUAGAGAGAGAGAGAGAGAGAAUUUAGGAUAAAAAUAAAAUAGCAUAUCACUUAUAAAUAAUAUUGUAUAUAUAAAUAAACUACAAAUCUGAUAGAUGAAGACCUACAAAACUCUUAUUGGUAAAAUCGUACAGGAGAUAUGUCCCAUCCCAUAGGCAGAGAAGCUUUUAAAUUAGACUGUGAAUCUUAGCUGAACCAACUUAUGUGGGGUCCAUUCAUGAGAAAGCUUCAUUUCCUCUAAGCCCUCCAUCUGUGUGUAUUCUUUCUAAAUUUAUAAUGAGUUGGUUGGUGCAUUUGUUGGGUGCCCAAUUCACCACCAUUCAGCAAAAAAAUAUAGGCCCCAACAAUUUUUCUCUUUAAAUAUCAUUAUGGCAAUACAAUCUCUACCUUUUUCUUGUUCAUUCUUAUUUAACAACAACGAUAUCAUAAUGCUAAUGACCACUACUAAGAGUCAUGAAUAUCCCAAGAAUCUAUGCCACCAAUAAUCUUUGAAACAAAAGUUUGACCUUUGUCCUUGCUGUCUCUCAAUAGGAACUUAUAUAUCAUAGUGCUCUCUUUUAGUCUUUGAUCGAGUGGUGGGCAUCAAUGAGGGGGUGCUCUCUUUUAGCAUUCUUGAAAGAGGAGGAUGACCCCCCAAUCUUUUGACCCUUUGAUCUCAAAGUUUUUCAUGAACAGGGUUUCUUUUUUUUAAAUAAUUUUAUUUGCCUUUUGAUGAAUGAUCUUUGGAUUCAUUGAAGAGUGUGGAAAAGUAAAAGUGUUGGCCCUUUCUUUUCCUGAAUAGUAAAGUUAACUUGUAGACUAAGGUUACAAAUCAUGUAUAAAAUCAUGAUAGUUACAGUGGUCACUACAUGGGCCAAUCUCCCCACAAAUAUAUAAUAAUUUUGUCACGAAUUGUUGAAGUUAUGUGUAUAUAUUAAUCAGAGCGACAAAUAAGCAAAGGGUUUGCAUUACCCUUUCUAACCAUUGAAGAGUGAUAUUGAUUUUUUUAAUAUAAAUAAUAGUCUAAACUACAAUGGGAGAUCGGGAGGCUUUGUACACAUAUUACCAAAGUGUCAUGAGAGUUCGAAUCUGAGACCACUGAUCUAUUCCACUAGGCUAGAUUCCGUCGGUGAGUGAUUUUGAUUUUUGAAUGGCUGAAAAAUGUUUGAUUGGGUCACCAAAAUAGCAAGAAUUUUUAAGGACAAAUAAUGUUAGAAACUAAGUAUUCCAGAGAGACUGCGAAAGGGACAAAUUUUCUGCAUUCGGAUUGUAAAAAAAACUUUAUUUAAGAUUAUUGUCACAUAAUGAUCGGUUGAAGAUGCUGAAAAACAAAUUAAGAAGUGAAAAUGGAGACAAAUAAUAAUUGCUUGAACACGUAUGAUAUUUCUGUCGUUUAUGCAUAACAAAUAUGUAAAGGUUAAAAGUGAGUAAGAUUGAUUCGAUUUGUCUUAAUCUUACCGCCCCAAGCUAAUUAAAUAAUAAUUUGUAAUUAAUUUCACCUUGCCGAAAGUCAUGUAUACGAUGCUCAGAUUCCUUCAUGAGUAAUGCUACAUUUAUCAUAUUUUUAUCCCAUAUUUCUAUAUCACAUGAUGUGGCAUGUCUAUGUUAUAUGUCACAUCAAUUUGUGUAUUUUAAUUAAGACAAUUAGAAAAACAAAUACUGGAAUAAAUUAAAAGGAAAAGAAAAUAUUAAAUAAUUUUAAUUGAUGUGGAAGUCCGCCUCAGCUGCCACAUAAGAUGAUAUAAGAAUGUGGUAUAUAAAUAUGGUAAUAUUAUUGGCUAAUGAGGUAAUAUUAUUUGUGCUAUAUUCAAAGUGUUUAUUGCUCAAUGUUGCAUGUACUUGUAUAUAUUCCACUAACUAGGGGUUGUCUGCUUUUCUAUGCAGUGCUGGCUUCUCUAGUGGCUUUGCCGGCGACCGACCUUUAGACUAAAAAUUAUGUGAGAGCAUAAUAUAAGUAAGUCUCACUUCUAUUAUAAAACGGAUAUAUAAUAUAAUAUAAUAUAAAAGAUAGUUUAAAUUAUAUUGAAUGUAGAUUUCUUACAUACAUACUGUAAGUCAAGAGUCAAAAGAUUAGAGAGUUUAUAAUGUGAGAUUUGACUAAAGUUUCAAAAGGCAUUAUAACCAAUAAGUCUAUAUUAUAUAUUAUGAUCUUUCAACAUAUCCAAAGCAGAUAGUGAAGAGUGAGCAAUUUCACAGUAAAUCAAUCUAAGAGUUUAAUUUUUUAUUCUUUUUUUUCGUGGGAAUGUUUGACUUUGAUCUAACCCAUUCUCUCGAGUUCUACUAAAUUUUGUUACUGCACACAUUAUCUGUCGUAGAGAAUUGCAUGCUGAAUUGAAGUAGUUUUGGUAAAAAACGUGCAUUUUACCGAGUCUUUAAGAUGUGUUCAGAAAACUAAAGUAUUACUAAAAAAAAUACAUACGUACGUGUAUAAGACUAGUAUUAAACUGAAAAAUUCUAAAUUUUUUAUACGAGUAGUAACUCUGAAAAACUAAAAAAAAAAGGGAAGAAUAGAGACUUAGGUAAUGGGCUAAUAAUAAUGGAAAAUGCUUUAACCUAAUAAACGAAAAGCAGGGGAAAAAAAAUAAUAAUAAAAAAGACCAAGAAUAGCCGUGCGGGUGUACUAUUUAAACAAAUUUCCAGUUAUAGCUAAGGGCUAUACUAUUGAAACUAGCAAAUUGAUAUGUAUAAAGUACAAACUAAUGCAAUUAGGAGGGUCCUUUUUUUGAAUUUUUUUAUUAUUAAAUAGUAUAGCCAUUCGCCUAUACCUUUUGAAUAUAAUGUAUUUAAAUAGUAUAGCCGGACAUUUAUACUACGAUUUUUUUUAAAACUAUUUUUUACACGUGGCGCUAUAGGGUCCUCUUUUUUAAAAAUAGUACAGCCGCACGGCUAUACUCCGUGUUAUAUAUAUAUAUAUAUAUUGGGAUCCUUUUUUUCUUUUAAUUUUUUUUCCCAAUUUUCGUUAAUCGAUAAGAGUAGUUAUCCAUUACUAUUAGGCCAUUACCCGAGUCUCUUGUCCCCUUUUAAUUUUUUACUUUUCCAGAGUUAUUAACCGCAUAAAGAAUUUAGCACUUUCACGUUUAAUACUAUAUUAUACACAUACGUAAGUGUUUUUCAACAAUACAUUCAUGUUCUAUACACGUCUCACAUUUUUAAAAAAGAAAAUGUGGAAUAGUCAUAUUGUACAUGUACAUACGUAUUUCUAAUGUUUAAUGCAUGUAUUUUUUAUAAAAUUUGUUGUAAGACACAUAAAUUCACGUUUUAUACAAAUAAUUCUCACAUAUUAUUGAAUAAGAAUAAUAUACGUUAUAAAAAAAAACUAUUACAAUAUUAUAUAGUGGCCAAUUAAUAUCUACUUUGAAUAUGUUGAAACUAGCAAAUUAAUAUGUAUAAAGUACAAACUAAUGUAAUUAGGAGGGUCUCUUUUUCUUUAAUUUAUUAAAAAUUAAAUAGUAUAGCCGGGCGGCUAUACUAUGAUUAAAAAAAAAACUGAUUUUGACACGUGGCGUUUAUUGUUGACACGCUAGGGUCAUAUUUUUUUAUAAAAAUAGUACCGCCGUACGGCUAUACUCAGUGUUUAAAAAAAAAAAAAAAAAGACUAGUUUUGACACGUGGCGGCUAAUCGGUGGGAGGCUUUUUUUUAAUUAAAAAUAGUAUAGCCGCACGGCUAUACCAUUUUAGACGUGGGUGGCAAAGGUCUGUGCGUCUGUUCUUUUUUUAUUUUUAUAUAUAUUGUAAAUAGUAUAGCCGUCUGGCUAUAUUCGAUUUUUAAAAAUGUUUUCAAAAAAAUAGUAUAGCCAGGUGGAUUUACUGGUUUUUUUUAUUUUAUAAAUUUUAAAUUGUCUUCAAUAAAUAGUGUAGACGAGUGGCUAUAGUCUUAUAUAUAUAUAUAUAUAUAUAUAUAUAUAUAUUGGGAUCCUUUUUUUCUUUUAAUUUUUUUCCCUGAUUUUCGUUAAUCGAUAAGAGUAGUUAUCCAUUACUAUUAGGUCAUUACCCAAGUCUCUAUUGUCCCCUUUUAAUUUUUUUUCUUUUCUAGAGUUAUUACCUGUAUAAAUAAUUUAGUACUCACAUGCCUUUAAGUUCUCAUUCACAGCCACUUCCAGAAUCAUAUCACAGGCUUUUCUGGAAAAUUAACAACAAAGCUGAAAUUUUGGCAUGUUUGCAUCAUAAACUGGCACUUGGACUUGAGAUCAUUGCCUUGUGUUGAAUGCACCAUAAUCAAGUCAUAUUUGAUAUGCCCAGAUUAUAGGGUCGUUGAUUGAUUCCUUGUAUAUAUGUCAUUCAAUUGUUUUAUUUCUUUCCUAGAAUAAGACUCUCUCAGUUUGUAUAAAGCUGUAGCUAUAUUGUAUAUUCACAUAUCAAUCAAAUACAAAGAUCUUCUUUACCAAACUAUUUUCGUCAUUCACCAUUUUUACAUGGUAUCAAAGCACCGAUUUUGGUGACUCUAGAAACCCAAACCCCUUUCGCUACAACACAACACAAUAACCAUUUUAAAAAUAUAAAAUUUGUUUCUUUACUUUUGUUUUUUGGCCUACUUCUUUAAUCACUUUGAUUAGUAAUUAUAUGUUAAUUAUUAUUUAAAAUAAAAAAAUUAAAGAAAAAGUCCACAUAGUAAUUAAUUUCUAUUUAUUAAGUAUUUUGUGAAAUCGUUUGGGUGUCUUAAUUAAAUUUCUCCAUAGCCCAAGAGCCCUAUCCAUUACUAUUAGACCAUUAUUCGAGUAUCUAUUGUCCCUUUUUAAUUUUUUACUUUUUCAGAGUUAUUACCUGUAUAAAGAUUUUAGCACUCUCACUUUCAACAAUGUAUUAUACACAUACGCACGUAUUUAUCAUGUUUAAUAAAUGUAUUUUUUACAAAAACUUUAGUACGACACACAAAAUUUACGUAUUAUACACAUAAUUAUCACAUAUUACUGAAUAAAAAUAAUAUAUAUUGAAAAAGGGUAUAGCCGAACGGCUGUACUCAGUUUUUCCCAAUUCAAAAAAUAGUAUAGCCAGGGCUAUACUCGUUUUUUGAAAAUUUAAAAAAAAAAUUGUAUAGCCGACCGGCUUUACCUGUUUGACACGUGGGGCUUAGGCACUGGGCGAGUCUUUAUAUGUAUAUCUACAUAGAUAAAUAGUAUAGCCGCCCGGCGAUACUAUAUUUUUUUAUUUGUUUUUAAAAAUAGUAUAGCCGUGCGGCUAUACGCAUUUUUCCUUUUUUAUUUAUUUUUAAAAAAUAGACUUUACUAUUUUGACACCUGGCCUACUUCUUUCAUUUACUAUACGUAAUCAAGUAUAUCUUAGGCUUUUUAAAUCACUUUGCUUAGUAAUCAUAUGUUAAUUAUUAUUUAAUAUAAACAAAUUAAAGAAAAAGUCCACAAAGUAAUUAAUUUUAAUUUAUUAAGUAUUUUGUGAAAUCAUUUGGGUGUCUUAAUUAAAUUUCUCCAUAGCCCAAGAGCCAUAUCCAUUACUAUUAGGCCAUUAUUUGAGUAUCUAUUGUCCCUUUUUUAUUUUUUACUUUUUCAGAGUUAUUACUCGUAUAAAGAUUUUAGCACUUUCACGUUCAACAAUGUAUUAUACAUGUACGCACGUAUUUCUCAUUAAUUAACCCUAAACCCUAAAUAGUAUAGCCGUGCGGCUAUAUGUGGUCCUUUUUAUUUUUUUUCCCUUGAAUUUCGUUUAUCGAUAAGAGUAGUUUAAAGCAUUUUUCAUUACUAUUAGGCCAUUACCCAAGUCUAUUAUUCCCUUUUGAUUUUGUAAUUUUCCCGAGUUACUACUCAUUUAAAAAAGUUUAGUAUUUUCUAGUUUAAUACUCGUAUUAUACACAUACGUAUGCAUUUAAAAAAAAUAAUAUUUUCGGUUUUCCUAAAGGCUCGGUAAAAUGCACUUUUUUACCAAGACCAUUCCAACUCAGCAUGCAAUUAUCUACGACAAAUAAUGUGUGCAGUAACAGAAUUUAGUAGCACUUGAGAGAAUGAGGUAAAUCAAAGGCAAACAGUCCCACCAAAAAAAUAAAUAAAAAUUAAACUCUUAGAUGGAUUUACUAUGAAAUUUCUCACUCUUCAUUAUCUGCUUUGGAUAUGUUGAAAGAGCAUAAUAUAACAUAGGCUUAUUAGUUAUAAUACCCCCUAAAACUUUGGUCAAAUCUCACUUCUCAUAGUACUACUGUAUUCAAGUAUAUGGUAUACUUUCCGAAAAAGGACAAAAACAAAUAAUGGGCCUAAAGACUGUAGUGGGCCCGGAUUCCGAACUUGUUUAGUUAAAGGGUAAGUGGGCUUUGAUAAAAAAAAAAUGGAUUGCCAAGUGUCUCCUCGGCCCGGAUCAAACUCCUAUUUCGGCUUGUAGGAUUGAUUUGAAGGAGAAGGGCAAUGCCCUUGAUUGGUUACGACAUGACACUAUAGUAGGCCUCAAUGCAGAGAAUCCGUGUUCUACUCUGAAACAAGUUAGACUAUUCCCGAGCCAGGUCAGAGACGUCAAACACAACGCAUGAAAAUGAAAGCAAGCCCAAAUUCAAAAUCAAACCUCUGUUUUGUGUUGUCAACAAAAUCCCAAUCCCCAACUCUUUGAAUUUCUCGAGAAACCUUCAAGUAAUAAAAUUGAAUGAUUAUAAUGAGACUGAAGGUGUGGUUUGUGUUAAUAGCGCUUGUGCUGGCUGCCACGAUUCGACCAAACGGUGCGUUUGAAUCGUCGUCUUCCCGGCGUCAGACGUCGACGGAGGCUUAUGUCACGCUCUUGUACGGAGAUGAGUUCCUACUGGGUGUUCGAGUCCUCGGCAAUUCGAUACGGGACACUGGAUCCACCAAAGACAUGGUGGCUCUGGUCUCGGACGGCGUCUCCAAUUACGCCAUGAAGCUUCUCGAGGUUAUUACUCUUCUUUUGUUUCUUUAUUUUUGGUACUUGCGCAAAUUGAGCUGUGGAGAAUCCAUUUCUAUCUAAUUAAGGAAAGUGGCUGUGCUUAGGCUUAGUUGAGUUUAUGGACUUUCCUUUUUUUCAGAGCGGCAAGUUAGCUAAUUGAGUAUCAAUCAGGUUUUUGGCAUUAACUGAAUUGUGAAGUGAUUUUAGGAAAAAUAAAGGAUAAAAUUUUCUGCUUGACUUCAUUCUAUUAAAGUUCCAGCUGCGGUAAAUACCCCUAAAUCAGAUUGAUUGUAAGCGUGAUUGUUUUGGUAAAUAUUUGUGCAGGCUGAUGGAUGGAUUGUGGAGAAGAUUAGUUUAUUGGCAAAUCCCAAUCAAGUACGGCCGUCGAGGUUCUGGGGUGUCUACACAAAGCUGAAAAUUUUUAACAUGACUAACUACAAGAAAGGUAAAAAUCUUCAAUUGCUUAUUAUCAGAAGUCCAACAGACCUUGUUACGUUCCAGUAUUUGAUUGUUUUAGGAUCUGUCCCACUUUUUCUCUGAUAGCUGAUUGUGUUUCUUAUCUCCUGUGGAAUAUCAUUAUGCAGUUGUAUAUCUUGAUGCGGAUACUAUUGUUGUCAAAAAUAUCGAGGAUCUUUUCAAAUGCAGCAAAUUCUGUGCUAACUUGAAGCAUUCUGAGAGGCUGAACUCGGGAGUGAUGGUAGUGGAACCAUCUGAAACUGUUUUUAACGAUAUGAUGAGACAAGUUUCCACUUUGCCUUCUUACACUGGAGGUAAAAUAACUCUGCAUGUAAUUUUAAUCACUUCUCACUGCCUGUACGGUCUUUCAACGUAAUUAUUUCUUCAUCUGCAUGUCAGUGAGAUAUGUACUAAUGGGUAUGUUUUAUGUAGACCAUAAUGCUUAUAUGAUAUGGAUAAUUGAUCUGAACAAAUAUUAUUCUGACUGUUGGAGGGAAGUUUAAAUGUUUUGUCAAACCCAAGUGUGAGCUUCCAAGUCAAGCUUAUGGUUAGGACACAGAAUUAGUUAAACUUUAUAGUUAUGGUAUGAUGAUGCCCGAACUGUUACUAUUGUAGACAUUGAAUUCAGAUCAAAUUAAAUUGCAUUGUUGUUGUCAAUGCUCCACUGAUUUCUGAUACUUACAUGUAAGUCUGUCAAAAGGAGUUGCUAGAUAUGAGUUGUAUAAACUUGUUAAAUACUCAAAUACAUGCUUAAAUUACCAUUGUAAAUUUGGUCGUUAUGAUAGGUGUAUUAUAUGUUUCUGAGUUAUGUGGCAUCCUUGGGAGAAAGCAUUGAUCCAUUAUAGUUAUUUCGCUCUCUAAACAUUUAUGUGCUUUAUUUAUUACAGGAGACCAGGGGUUUCUGAAUUCCUAUUAUUCUGACUUUCCCAAUGCCCAUCUUUUUGAGCCAAGUUUACCAGCAGAGGUGCGGAAGUCUAGACCGGCUCCUGCAAUGGAGCGACUUUCCACUUUGUAUAAUGCAGAUGUCGGUCUUUAUAUGCUGGCAAACAAGGUGGGUAUGAAUGGGUGUUUGAAAUGUCUUAUUAACGCUGGUCGACUAGUAUAAAUGCUUUCAAUGGCAUGUAUGAUAUCAGUGCCUGCACAAUCACUCCCAAAUGUAAAGUACCAUAGAAUGAGAUGAUAUUUCUAUUGCAUACACUUAAGGAAUAAGAUUUGGCAUUGGAAAAGCUAGGUUUUCAAUACAAAAGAGUGAGGUUAUCACAUUUUCUUGUAUACGCAGGUGUACAGGUGUACACAAGAGUCUAAAGAUGUAAUAAAAGAAACCUUUUAAUUGGUGUUUGUGAAGCUAAUUGGAUUACAAAACUGCUAAAAAUGUCACAAGUUCUGUUGUGCUACUCAGAACCCAUGUUUAUGGUGCACGAUGGAACUCCAAUUCAAGCUGUAAAGAUGUCUUAUAUCUACAAUUUGGAUUGCUAGUAUUUUCUUUAGUUUGUCCUAUUGAACAAUAAGGUGAUGACCCAUAUGAAGUGGCUAAAUGGGAAUGUACUAUUGAUUUGUAUUUGUUAUGCUUAUUAAGUUGUUUAAUCUGCUUGUGUGUUACACUUUCAGUGGAUGGUAAAUGAAAGUGAACUUCGUGUCAUUCACUAUACACUUGGUCCCCUUAAACCUUGGGAUUGGUGGACAUCUUGGCUUUUGAAACCAGUCGAUGUCUGGCAGGUACUGCUUUGAAUUAUUUUAAAUAUCUAUGUGGUUAUCUGCUUUUUAUAUAUAAAUAUUUAUUGUAACUUUUGCAUUCAGAGAGGAUAUAAUCAAUGACUUUCGUUGAUGCUGCAGAAUGCUAGGGUACAGCUUAAGGAAUCCCUUCCAGGAACUGGAGGAGGCAGAAAUCCAAAUGACGCUCUUCUUGUCAGUUUUCUUUUCCUGCUACCAUUUUGUGCUCUACUCUUUUGUUACUAUCGGUUGUUUCUUCAGGUUAGCAAGUACAUGAUCAUUUUAGCCCAAUUUUGAGAAAUUUUUCAUUAUAUAUUUUAUUAUAUAUUUAUUUUUUCUGAAUAUUGGUGCAGUCACAGGAGUACUUUUGCUCGUUAUGUAGAAGCUCGUUGUAUGACCAAAUCAAACACCUUUACUACAAGAUUAGAUCUACGGUGACACUUAAUUAUACUGUUGUUUCUACAUCGUCCUCCAUUAAUCCCAACCAUCAGGUUAGAUCCCAUGUCUCAGUUGUGUUUGUUGGACUGGUCCAAUUUCCUUUCACUUUCAAGCUUAUCUUAUAUAAAAUAGACUAUCUUCUGCACUUUACAAAGUUACGUGGUCGUUAUAAAGUUUUUGUUUGUACUUAUGCUGUGAAACAAUCCUUUAAUGUGAUGCAGACCAGGGUGCCUGUUUAUUUGGGUGGGAUCUCUAUUGUUGUCUGUUUCAUGGCUGCCCUGGUGGCCCUUGCUCUUGCUUUUGCAAUUGUGCCUCGACAGGUUAUGCCAUGGACUGGUUUACUAAUGAUGUAUGAGUGGACAUUCACAAUCUUCUUUAUAUUAUUUGGAGGUUAUCUCCAUCUAAUUUACCAGUGGGGAAAGGGAACAGCAGUGCAAGCAGGAGCCUUGUCCUCUGUUCCUGAAUCAGUUGAUUAUGAUUCUGGGAAAGGUUAGUUGGCUUGAGUUAAUCCAAUGCUGAUGUACUAAAUUUCAUCGAAUUAGUUCCUUGUUUGUUUUUUUUUUAAUUUUCUAAAUUAGUUGAUGGUUUUUGGAUGUGUUAUAGGUCAUCAACGGCAAGAAUCUUUAUGUGAUAGUGCUACACUGUGUUAUGGGCUAGGAAUGGCUUUUCUGGCUAUUGCUGCUCCAUCUUUGCCAUGUCUUUUUGGGAUAACUGCUCUAUUUUUAAGGUAAUUUGCUCUUGCCUGUGCCACUUUUCCAUCUUAAGGAAAAAUAUGAUUCAAAAGGAGGGCUAAGAACAAUUUAUGUUAUUAUGACAUUUAACAGGCUAGGUUUGAUGGUCGUGGGAGGCCUGGCUUUGGCAUCUUUCAUGACAUAUGCUUCAGAGCACCUUGCAACUAGAUCAUUUUUAAGAGGUUUCGAAGACCGAGAUGGAUCGAGAAGUAGGAGCUUUUGUUUGUUGUGUUGACUGGUGAACAAAAUAGAGUAUGUAACAUGUAACUGUAAGAAGUGUUUGAUCCCUUUUGUUGUAACCUAUUUCGCAAGGAAAGGCCCUACCAUUAGUUUGUAAAGUAUUGCAGAAAGCUUGUUGAUCUAUAAUUGCUUGUUAUCCAAGAAAUUUUGUGACAAUAUUCUUUCAGAAACUAUUAAUCAUAAUCCCGAUUCCCAACAUUAUUGUGUACCAUCGGAUUUUGCAGUCUAAGCGAACAGUGAUAUCAUAACACACUGUUUCUUGUUUUGUGGCAAUAGUAAUUAUUAAUUGUUUAUAGCUGAUAUUCAAAAAAUAAAAAGUUGUUAUCAUCCUAAACAAGUUUAAUUGUUAUUAAUUAUUUUUAUUCACCUGUUGUAGUCUUCCUUGUUCACUAUUUAAAUACUAAUUAUUCACUAAAGAAAUAAUAAUUAAAACAUAAUUACUAAUUAAAGUAAUUACAAAAGUCUAGGAUAUUACUUAAUUAUAAAAAAUAAAAAUAAAAACCAUUUUGUACUGUAUAGCCGAGCGGCUAUACUGUUUAAAUAUUAAUAUAUUUUAAGAGUAAAGCCACGCAGCUACUCUUUAAAAUUUUCGUAUAUAUUUAAAGAAUACAACUAGACGGCUAUACUUCUAAAAUAUUUAAAAGAGUAUAGUCCCAUUAAUAUUUUAAACUUUUAGCUGCUAAUAUAUUUUAAUAGUAUAGUCGCACGACUAUAAUAUUUAUAUAUAUUUAAAAAAUAUACUUUUUAAAUAUUAAUAUAUUUUAAAAGUAUCUUAUGAAAGCUGCAGUCUUAAAACUAGAAAAGCACCCCUAAGAAUGUCUGGAUUGGUUGUGGCAUCAAACAGCACAAAGCAAAUGUUUUCGAAGAAACCAACCGCAUAACCAAUGACAUAUCCAGAAUUUGGAAGCUGAGUAGGUAGAAUUUAUACGUUGUAUGAAUAUGGGUAUACAUUCAUAUAAAAAAUUUUCAAAAACUAGGAUACAUGUAUGGCAUUGAUACGAUGAUUAAAAUAAUAUAAAUAACAAAAUUGAUAUUGCAUCCAUCAUGUUAUAAUCAUCCAACAAAUUAGAAAAUAAAAAUAAAAAUGAAUCAAAUGCAUUUUGAUUAUUUAAAAAAAAAACAAUUAGUACAUGUAAAAACAAUUAGCAUCUAUUGCUAAAAAAAACUAGGCUUUAGUGUACAAGAAAUUGGGUGGCCAACCAAUUUUACCUAGUUCAAAAUAAUUAUAGAGAAUUCAAUACCAUUUAUAUCUAAUUACGUGACUCCUUAACACUUUUAUCCCUCUCUCCUCCCCCCCCUUUUUUUUUCUUCUCUUUUCCUGUCUUGUUGAUUCCCUCUCUCUCUUUUCUAUUUUUUUCUUCUUCCCCUUUCUCUUUUUCCUUGGUCUUUUUGCUUUAUCUACCUAUUUUUAUUUCCUAACAAUUUUCGCGUAGGCAGCUACGUACCCAAAACAUGGCUAGAUCCGCCAGUGUGCAUAACAAACUAACUCAUAUUUGUGGAAGGAUGGGCAAGGGCAUCCUUCUUCAUUAUCUAUUAUAUCUUUAGUUACAGACAACAAAGUAUUUCAAUCAUAUAAGAUAAAGGUGAAAGCAAUCUAAGCAAUAAGGUGGAUUUAUGCAAUCCUUGGGGUGAUGAAAAAACACUAACUUAUUGUUUUCAAAAUUCACCAUUGCAUACUCCAUGGUCAUGCUAAUGUCCAGCAAUAUAGGAAACAACAUCAAGAUAAAUGAUCAAAUAUAUUGAGUAAUCUUUAACACACAUUAGACAAGUUUAAUAAUCAGCAAGUACAGUAUCAAUCUAUUGUAUUUGUCAUGAAAAACAAAAGACUUUAUUAGAACCUUAGAAGUAAAAAUCCUCUGAAAUAUGAGAAGUUUAUGUUUCUCAUAUACGUAACAAGUAGCUCAUCAACUAACUACGCAAAUAGAGCUCAUUUCCUAAGGAGUUUGUGCAAUCACAUGAGUUACAUGAACUUGGGUAUGGGAGUCAGACGAGGAUCAAUGCCCAAGUAUAUCACAGGGUUUGUCUUUCUCCGAAAGUCUUCUAUGCAUCUGCAAUUCCCAGUGCCCCUUAUCACUUACAUGUGUCAUGUCUUAUUGACACAUGUAUAAGCAAUAAGAUGAAAUGAAGAGUCCACGUAACCUUGCAACAUUCAUAUCACUCAUAUUUAAUUAUUUAUUAAAGCAUCACUUACAAAGAACUGCCUCUAAAUUUCUAUAUAAAACCAACAAAGUUUGUUGAAACCGCACCAUCAAUCUAAUUCAAGAAUGCCAUAAUUUGAUGUUAUCCAUUAAGAUAAGGCUGACAUUCUAGCCAGGAUAGAUAAGUGAUGCUCGUGUGUGGGCGUAUAAAGGAAAAGGUAUUGCAGGAGCUAAUCUAGCAUACCUUGGUUGGGACUAGAAAUAGUAGCAUCCGCGUGAAGCGAAAAGCAAAGGUAAAGACCCUCUUCUACACCAUUUAUGUUACCCAUCAUCAUGAAAAGAAUGGCAUAAGUCCAUGGAUAGUAACUCCAUGCAAAGGGAGAUAUUCAGAAGAGUAAGAAAAGAGAGCUAAUGUCGCCAAUGACAUAUUAUGCUUACAUAAUUACAUGAAUCUUUGACGUUUAUGGUGAAGUAUAAAUUUGAAUAUCGGUUACAAACGUUACAUUCAACCAUGUCGUAGUCUUUCUUGUUCACUAUAAUUGACCAAUUAGAUUAACCAAACCAGAUAGUAAAAGCAAUGGCAAAGUAAAUUUAUGUUGAAUAAAUGGGGAUGAUUUUUUCACUGUUCUGCUAUGCGGGUAAAAUAUGCAGAUCAAUUACUUUACUUUACUGUUCUUGAUUGAAUGGCAGAGGAUUUAUUCUUUAACAUAAAAGCGUGCUCGUGUUCACUGUGGUUUAAUGGUUCUCCUCCUCCAUAGCGUCCACUGAUUGAAAACACACUUUUACAGUGAAAAAACCAUAUGAUAUGUUUGUAUUAAUUCAUCGUAUUUGUUGUGUAUGAGUUUGAACUAAUUCAUGGUACUCGUGUUUGAGUUUUGUUGUGUAUGAGUUUGAACUAAUUCAUGGUACUCGUGUUUGAGUUUUCCUCUCCUUUCUUUAAUUUUGAAAAAAAAAAAAAAUUAACAAACCAUAUAAUAUGUUUGUAUUAAUUCAAGAUAUCAUGUGUAUGAGUUUUGAACUACUUCAUGAUAUUCGUGUGCCUGGAUUUUCCUAUCCUCUUCUUAACUUUGGCAGAAAAAAAAAAAAAAAUCCAACUUGGCUGAAUUGAAUAUUAUCCUUGUUAAAGUUGUACGGACGCCCCAACACAAAGUGAUUCUUUUUUUAUUCAUCUUCACCACCCACCCAAAAAAAGGUGCAAUUGUAUAAUAUAAUAUAAUAUUCAAUUAAUUGUUGGCACUUACAGAGUUGAACUAAGAAGGAAAGGAAAGGAAUGCCAAGUCAAAGCUGCGAGAGAGAGAGAGAGAGAGAGAGAGCGAUUUAAUUAUAUAUAUUGAAAAGGAAGGCCAGUUUUCCAUUGGGUGAUGGAAGGAAGCUGCUGUUUGCGACUCUGUCUGUCUUCUCCAAUUUGCUUAUCAGAUUCUGAGUUUUGUUGAAGUGUCAUUCAACUAAUCAUCAACCGCAUAACAUACUAUAUUAUAUAUAUUAUAUGUUUAUUUACUUUAUUUAAUUUUUGAUUAGCUUUGUCACUGAGUCUUUGAUGAGUCACGGACCAAUAGAAAUAUCUAAAUUUGAUUGUCUUCCUUUUUUCUUUUAUAUAUUAUAAAUUGCACGUCAUUUUGGCACUAGGUGACAACACAUGGUGACUAACUCAAAAUUUUAAUAAUGAAAAGGAAAUUGAAAUGAUGGAGGAGGGUGGUAGACUUUAGUGAUCCAUCGUCCUUAUCCCAUACUGUGGUAGAUAUAAUCAACUACAAAAUUAAAACAAUAAAAAAGUAAUUAAAUAAAAAUAAAAAGAUGCAGAAAGAAAGCUACAAAUAUGGCCCCCCACUCCCUCCCUAUGUUCUGGCUUUUAUCAUGUUGGACGAAAAGAUUCCAUCUUCCCAAUGAAGGCUCCAUGGUAUCUAUCUCUCAUAAUAAUUUCUUUUCUUUUCUUUUCUUUUUUUCUGCGCAUUCUGUAGAGGAAGCCGCUCUCUGCAACUUUAUGAUAGAGUCCUGCAGAUGAUUUUCUAAUUAAGUUCAAUACAUUAUCCAAGGUGUUUUCUUCUUUUCCUUUAACUUUUCCCAACUAUCUGGAACCCUGCCAUGCCAAUGUGCCAUGCCAUUUAUACUAAUUUUGCUUCAACAUUUGAUCAUGUAUUGCUGCUAUAGCCCCCACGUCCUUGGCUUUUUCAAGAGCUACUUAGAUCUCAAAUCUUGUUUAUUCUAUCUGCUGUCCUCCCCCUAGACCUAGUCACCUAGAGCUAGACAUACAUGUGCCUGCAAAAGAAGGGGUCACUACUUUCCAGUACAUUAUCUUCUGAUCGAUUCUCUCCCUAGCUAGUCUUCAUUAUAUAUUGUGAAGGAAGGUUUUAUCAUGUUCCUUCCUUGCUAUAAAAUAAAAGCUUCAGUUCUAUAAAAAGCUGCUGCUGCGCAUAAUGUGAAUAUAGAAGAAGAAGAUUUUAGAUAAACUUGAGGUUUAGAGAGCUAAGCGGCUAGGCCCUAUCAUUUCAUUCAUGACCCAAAAUCUUUAAGCAGUGUGUCAUAUUAUAUAUAUGCAUAUAUAUUAUGGCUUCUUGUUGUUUGUUAACCCGGAAGACUCAUAGAAAGAGCUAUAUAUAUGAUAUGAGAGGUUGUUUCAAACGUUGACAUUCAUCGCCAGCUAAUUAAGAAUGCUAAUUGCCAGUUAACUGGGAAGAGGAGUACAUGUGCUCUAAUUAAUUUGAGGUUUAUAUAUACAUAUAGAGGUAUGUUCCCUAACGUGCAAUUAUUCUUUGAAAAGAAUCAGACACGCGGUGACGCGGUAGCUUUUUCAUCCAACCACGUUCCAUUAUCUACCCUGCUCAUGUACGUGAAAAAUACUAAACUAACUUGGAAGAUAAAAGAUUCCAGUUUUGAUGAGUAUAAAGUAUUUGUAUGCCAAGCCAACUUAGUAUAGCACUUCUGCGGUGCGGUGUCAAGUCAACGAUUCAUUGAUCAAUGAGAAACAGAGAAAAACCAGAAAACCAGUUGUGUUAUACAACGACGAUCGAUGUCUCUUACAGUGAAGGAGCACACUAGCAAAUGCAUAAUAAAGAUCAAAACAAGGAAAAAAACAACGGAAAUACAAAGUUACAUCUCUUUCGCUGCUCAACCUGGAGGAGCUAACAUUCCACAGUUUAUUUCAUUUUCCUCCAUUAAUUUCUUGGCAAACAAGCCAAGAAUCAGGAGAAAAGGAGUUGGCAUUCGUCCAAACAGAAAUUAAAAGGAAAAGAAAAAAAGGAACGGAGAAGGUCAAGGAAGAUUAAGGGUUGAUAUAUAAAUAUAUAUAUAUCAUAUGUAUAAGCCAAGAAUCAGACUUGCCUGAGGUUACAUUUCCUCCUUAAGUUCAUCACCUUCUUUACUGCUGUAAAUCAGGCCAUGACUGAAAGUUGAGGACCCUAUAUCCUCCUCCUGGUGAGCUUUUGGACAUGAAAGAAUGAUCUUCUUCUCCUCUUGACAUUCUUCUCAUCCACUUCUGAAGCACCAUCAUCGUCGUCAUCGAUCCUUCCUUGGACAAGUUCAGUGAAACCCUAAUUAUUAUUUCUCUCGCAGAAAAAUCAACUUAAGUUGUAGACGAAGAAGAAAGAGGCAAUAGAAUUUUGGGGUGGUUGGGUAUAUAUAGAUGUCUUAAUAUAUAAGUAGCAAUCGGUUGUGGGAGCGGAUGAAACAAAGGUGAAAGGGAAAUGAAUUAGGCCACGUACGUACAUGGGAGGCCCUACUUCACAUGUCUCUAUGUGUUUUACUGAUAAAAGGAAUAUCCCAUUAAGUAAAAAGGACCCCCCCUCUUAUAAUUUAAAGUUGGAAUCUGAGGUGAGCUAUCCAAUUUGGAUCCACAUAUAUACCUAAAAAUAAAAACAAAAACAAUAUUCGUUUAUUUUGUGCUCAUAGUUGGCCAAAACUUACCCAUUGGAUUGGAC